GUUUUUUUUCUAUACAUUUUUUAAAAAUUGAUGAACUUUUGUUAAAAUUCAAUGACAUUCUUGAAAAUUUGAUGAACCUUUCCCAAAUUUGCAAAAUAAAAAUAAAUCUACGAUGUUUUUAAAAAAGUGAUGUUUUUUUCUUUCAAACAUUCGAAUUUUUUCUUCAAAAAUGAUGAACUUUUUUAAAAAUAAUGAUUUUUUUUAUUUUUUUAUGAUUUUUUAAUCUUUUAUGGUUUGUCGAGAUUCAUUAGUUUUUAGAAAAGUCAACGGUUGAAGCGGGUCACAUGCCUGCCCGAGAGCGAACAAAGCAGGUCACAUACCUGCCUGAGAGCGAACAAAGCAGGUCACAUACCGACCCGAGAGCAAACGAAACAGGUCACAUACCGACCCGAGAGCGAACGAAGCAGGUCACAUACCGACCCGAGAGCGAAUGAACCAAACAUUGAUUUUUUUUUUAUUCAAGCGAACAAAGCAGACACGUGUCCCUUGUUGGGACAGACCCAGGUCACGAGUGCAUGACUGUCAACGAGCACAAGGGGCGCUGAACACGCUAUAUAGGAGGUAAUCAUUUCCCUGUCUGAAAAAGUUUCUGGAUUGUAGGGGCGGUCGAGGCUGAAUUUUGGGCCAAGCCUCAUAGUUGGGGAGGUCGCUAUAUUUUUUACAGCAACCAGGCCGUGCUACAUUCUAGUGAGUCCCUACGUCGCUGGACGCAGCUAUGUGUCGCCUGCAGCAACUGGGUGUCCUAUGUCUCGCAUUAAGCGAGACAGGAGCGAACCCCUCGCUGAAGGUAACCGCCACUUGGGUCAGCCCACGCCCGCGAGAAACACCAGCAUGUUUUCUGUUUUGUUCUUUUUCACGUGGUUUUUUUUCUUUUUUUCUUUUGUUUAUACUUUAAUAUAUAUAACACUUUAAAAACGCAUUUGAAAAAUGCUGAACAAGUAUUUUAAAGAUGUUAAUUUCUUUAAAUUGUUGAAAAAGUAAUUAAAAUUGUUUAAGUAUUUAAAAUGUUGAUCAAGUAUUUAAAAAAUGUUGAAUAAGUAUCAAAAAAUGUUGAACGAGCAUUUGGAAAUGUUGAAUAAGUAUAAAACAAUGUUGAACGAGUAUUUGAAAAAUAUUGAACAAGUAUUAGAAAAAUGUUGAAUAAGUACUAAAAUGUUGAGCAAUUAUUUAAAUCCAUAGUUGUGUUCUCCUAUUUGUACUCAUAACAAGAGUAUACAAUACAUGAAUGGUUCGCAUAUAAUCAUAACAAGAGUGCACAGAAAAAACAGAGUAUAUAAGGCUGCCAUGGCACCAUUUCUAGAAAGGAUGCCAUGGCACUUAACAAAUUCAGAAGCUUGCAUUUACUUAUGCUUUACACUAUUCACUAUCAAUUCUAAGUCACCAUUUCUGCUUCACAUUUCUAGAAUGGGAUUUCGAGGUAUUCAGAAACAAGGAAACAAGGAAAAUUCAUGGUCAGAAACUGGAGUCAUGAAGGCUUAUUGUAGGAAACAAGGAAAAUUCCAGCAAGGCAUGAUUUCACUAACCUUUGGUACUACUCAAGUAAGUUUUGAACCUACUCCUACUCCUACUCCUGGUCCAUUCUAACUACUCAAGGAAAAUUAAGUAACUGAAUACCAGCAGCUUUCUGAAAAUGUUGGGACUUGGCCAUAAAAAAUCUGAAGUUUAAACUUGGCCAUGAUAUGAAGUUUAAACUACUCAUGCAUAUAAUCUUGUUGAAUAGAAAUUGACACUAGAAGUACUGAAAAUGGACACUAGAGUAAUUACUGUCUACAGAAAAUGGACACUUAUUGAUUCCCAUUCAACAAUAUAGUGACACUAGAGUAAUUACUGGAGAUCAACAGGCAACAACAGCAUCGAUCCUGAAAAUCUAAAUGAAAAUGUAUGCUACAAAUUCAAACAACAAUACCAAUCCACACAUUUAUGGGUGUCUAUUUAUGCUCUUUUUCUGUUUAUGAUUUUGUUUAUGUUCUCAAGCACAUUUCCAGUGUAACAGUUUGACAAAAAACACAUGGUCUUUUUAACAGUUUUCUGUUUAAUUUGAUGGAAAUAAUCUUAAGCAAAUCUCGAGCUUUUUGUCAUUUCCACUUGCUGGCCAUUUUUGCCAAUUAAAAUUCAUGGAAUGAGCAACAAUGAACAUGUAUAUGAAAUAUUUUGGAUGGCCCAAAUGUAGACUGUUGUUAUGCUUCAUGUCCAUUUUGAUACUAUCUUUGAUAGUCCGAAUUUCCAUCAAAAACAGAGUGUAGUUACUCUGUUUCAACAACUACUAAAGUCAAAAUACAGGGCAAUACUCAAUCCAUUCUUCUGAGUUAAGUACAGGGCAAAAUACAUAUCUCUGCAUUUUGUUUGGAACUGUGCCUUGAGUAUGAUAUUUACUGAUAAUCAUUCAAAUUACUCAGACUGGAUAUUUACUGAUAAUCAUUCAAAUGAUCUGAGAGUUGCAUAUACUCACAGACCAUGCAUUCUGUGGAAAACAUACAUCAAAUGCUAGUUGUUCACAAUUCAAAAUAACUUCACAGGGAUCUUCUGAAUUUAUACAUAAUGCCUUGUAAAUUGAUGGAGUACAGUAGUUGACAAUCAUUUGAUGAAACACUGAAUACAAUUGACAUUUUUAUUUACUCCAUUGACACUGCAAUUGACAUUUUUAUUACUCCAAUUAACACUGCAAUUGACACUCAUGGAGUACUUCAUUGACACUGCAACUGAUACUGCAAUUGACACAGGUUCAGAGUACUGUACCUGCAGCCAACAGCAGCAGCAGAGGCAUUCAGCAGUCGCCAACGGCAGCAGCUGGAUGGGGACGGCAGGCGGCAGCGGCAACAGCAGGUGGCGGGCAGGCGGCAGCAACAGCAGCAGGUCCGCGUGGUCGUCUCGCCGCCGGGGAAGAUCCGCGUGACCCUGCCUGCCGAAGUAAGCGAGAGGGCAGCGGCGGCCGGGGUUGGCAGCGGCGGCUGGGGUUGCCGCGGGCUUGAGGAACCGGCCAGGGACGCGAGCAGAGUGACUAAGAGGAGAUGCCCGUCGAGGUGGUCGCCUUGGAGGAGCAGCCGCAGGUGGGCGGCGAGGCACCGGCGAAGGUGGGCGGCGGUGCAGGUGGGCCUUGGUCGCCCGCUGGCCGACGGUGGCUACGACGGCCGCUUGGUCCAGCCGCGGGCGAAGGAGGAAGAAGCAGAGGUGAGGGGGGAUUAGCAAGAAAUUUAAAACCAGAAGGGUUGUAUGCCAGUCCGAUUCGAACCCGAGGUGGCCUGGGUCUGUUCCCCAACCAGAGCCAAGGUUCUAUAUAAACGAAGCCUGGGCUGCUCCGGCUGGUAACCUAUUCAAAAGCACAAGUCUGUUGUACUUUGGAGAAAGAGAGAAAGAGAGCCAUGGUGCUUACGCACAAGGAGGAGGGCGACGACUGCUAUCUCCCGCCGCCGGUGGUCAUCGGGCCCGACGAGGACGGUGUGAGAAAGGUUAUCGAGUACCGCAUAGAAGAGGGCAUGGUUCUAAAGGUGACCACGACCACCCGCUCCCGCUCUAAACUCGCCGCCAAGGAGCACCGCUCGUGGGCCAGGUUCGGCGACGCCACCGACGACGACGCCACCUUCCGCUCACGUAAUCCUCCGCACCCAAACGUGUUCUCCUCCCAGGAAGUCUUUCUCGAUCGCCCUGGGAUUGGCAGCAGAGCUGCAAGAGGCGGUCCAGUGGCGGCCAUGCUCGCCGGCGAGCGAGAUGGUUCCGUGGUUUGCAGGACCUGCAAGAAGGGCUACCACUGGACGUCAAGGUGCCCAUACAGUGACCUUUAUUCCCAGCUGGAAGCCUUGGAUGAGCAGCCGAAACCCGCGUGUGAAGGAGGUCGCUCCGCCGCAUACGUUCCUCCAAAGUUGAAGCCUGGGGGCGGUGACAACAUGAGGCGGAGGAACCACGACAACACCGUCCGCGUGGACAAUCUUUCGGAGAAAGUCCGUGAUCCAGACCUUCUGGAGCUGUUUGCCGCGGUUGGCCCGGUUCGCCGUGCACAUGUCGCCGUGGAUCGCAGGACAGGGUCUAGCAAGGGUUUGGAUUCGUAGAGUUCGUCCGCAGAGCAGAUGCUGAAAGGGCUAUCCACACCCUCGAUCGUUACGGCUACGAUCACCUCAUCAUCCGUGUGGAGCGACCAGAACGACGCGUCGCCUGAGCUAACCUCCGUGUGUUUGGACGGCACUGGAAUCUUUGAGAGCUGGGCGUCGGCAAAAGCUUGGCUCUGGUCAUCCUCACAUCUUGUGUGGUAUAGCAUUCUCUUAGGAAUAGGAUCUCACCAAGUUAUUUGCAUAUGCAAUAUCUUGUUGCAUUGAUCAUGUAUCUAUGUGUUAUUAUUUUUUAUUUUUUUGCGAAUGUAUCUAUUGUUAUUUAGAUAUGCAAUAUCUUGUUUGCAUUGAUCAUGUAACCAUAUUCUUUAUGAUCACUCGCCAUGUAUUUAUUUAUAUUUUGAAAAUACAUUCUCAAUCUAUCUGGAAUUGGUAGGUCUCAUUUUUAAUCAUUGUAAAUUUUAUACCUACUAAUAAAUCUCUUAAUACGACCAAAAUAUUUUUUUACCAUACCGAGCCAUUUAUAUAUUAUUGUUGAAAUAUGGAAAAUGCAUAUACUUUAUAGUGCAACAGAAUGAUUUAAUAAGUAGCAACAUACUAUGUUCACUCAGCAAAAGUUGUUCGUUCAGAAGUAGGUGCUUAGGGCACUUUGGGAGGACUAAAAUCAAUAAGAAUGAGACCGAACUUGUCAUUUCCCACUUGGCUCAUGCCCCUCCUUGACAUUACACUUCUUGGUAAUAAUGCAUAUUGAGAAAUACGCUAUAAGCUAUUUUCAGUUUGCUAAAAAAAUCAUAAGCUCCAUGGAAUAUUGGUAGGUUAACACUUUUGUAGAACAGUAAUUAAUAGUCCAGAAAUACACAAAGUGAACCAUGCAAUUCUUUCUAAAGUUAACCAUUGUUAUGACCGACUAAAAAAACAUAGUAGUGACCUUAAAAAAAGUGAGGCCAAUAGCAGUCGCGCGAAGGUUCUGUGGAGUGCGUGUUUCCUCACCGCAACGGAGUUGUCAUGUGUUUACUCCUCCCAUAGGAGCAGGCUUCCCGAUUGGUUUGUGCUUGUGAUCUCCAAAUUUGCCAUGACAAAUGAUUUGUAAUUCAUACCAUUUUUCUACAUUAUCUCAUCAAUUAGACAUCAGUUUUAUUUCAUAUACCAUGACAAAUUACAAUGAAUUAGAGAUCGUUUGCCUCGGCAAAUUAUCAUCAAUUAGCAAAUUUACAAUCUUUUAUAGCUAACAUCUUUUUCUGGUAAAUAGUUGCCAUCGCAUAAUUGCUAUGAAUUUUCAUAGACCAUGUCAAAAUGCUAUUAAUUUUUAGAGACCAUUUUCCCAUGUAAAUGCACAAUGUUCUCUAAAUUUCCCAUGUAUUAGAGAUCUCUAAAUUUUGCCAUGAAAAUGAUUUAUAAUCCAUACCAUUUUUUCUACAUUUCUCAUGAAUUAGAUAUCGCUUAGUUUCAUAUUCCAUGGCAAAUUACUAUGAAUUCGAGAUUGUUUGCCAUUGAAAAUUAUACAUCAUGGGGUCUGCAAUGCUUGUUAAAGCUAGGCAUUUUGUUUUAAAGAUGUGUUUCCAUGGCAACUAAAAGCAUAUGUUGCCAUGACAGUAACUUUUUGUUGUGUAUUUUCCAUAGCAAUUUGAAGAAUGUUGCCAUGGUUACUUAAAAAAUUGCCAUACUUUUUGUAAAAAAAUACAAUGACAUACAUUUUUCCACAUUUGCCAUCAAUUAGGGAUCAUUUCCUUCGUACUCUAUCAUGGCAAAUUCAUUUUUUACCAUGGCAAAAGAAAUGGACCAUUCAAUUUUAUUUUGAGGCCAUGGCAAAUAUAUCUUGUAUGUGCAAUGGCCAAUCUCCUUUUUCUAACCAUGGAACAUCUUUUUCUUUGACAAUGGCAAAUCUUUUUCUUCACAAUGGCAGAUCUCCUUUCUUUGGCAAAUGCCAAAUAUCUUUAUGGGCGACGGAAAAUCUAUUUAUUUUACAAUUGCAAAUUCCUUUUUUGGACCAUUUGCUAUUAUUAGUUUUAAGUUUUUUUUUCCAAAUUCUUACUGUAUGGACCAUGCAUGUUUUUUCUUUUGGGCUUUUGAAAAUUUUACCGAACAACCCAUGGUCUUGAUUUCGUUAUGUCAUCAUAGCAAAUUUAUUUUUUGGACUGAGGCAAAAGAUUGAAUAUUUUUUGUACCAUGGCAAAAAAUGAUUAUUUUGGACCAUGUCAGAUCUAUUGUUUGCACCUUGGCAAAAAGUUGAAAUUUUUUUACCACAUCAAAAAAAUGACCAUGGAAAAUUUAUUCUUCAGACCAUGGCAAAUUCGUUUUUCUACACAACAAGGCAUUUUUUAUCUUAUGCACCGUCAUAAUUUUCUGUUUCGAUUUUUUUGAAACACGGCAAAUUUUGUUGAACAAAACAUGAUAAAUUAUGUUUGUAUAUACCAUGGCAAAUUACUUGUACAUCACAUGAAAAAAAAUGACUUUUUCAUGAGGCUUUUCACAAUUUUUCUUUGUAUCAACCAUUUUUGCCAUCAUAUUAUUUGAAACAAAUGGCAACUUAUAGGUUCAUACAUGAUUGUUAUGUUCUUUAGUUUUCCAUGCAUGGCAAGUGUAACAUUUCAUGUACGUCAGUUUACAUACAACCACCAUGGCUAAUUUUUGUGUAUAUAAGAUAUUUUAAGAUUUAGCAAACUUUUGUACGAACAGCCACCCACUAGCUGGUUGUUUGUACUUCUUAAGGCAUUGCAAAAUAAAAUCAGCGCAUUUUUUAUCUGAUCCAUUUUGAACAUGAUGGUAGUUUUGUUUUUAUAUUAUGGCAGUUUGAUUUAUUUUAGUUUUGAUAUUCGAAGUCAUGUCCAAAUAACAGUCUUAGGCUUUUGGUUCUAGUAGCAUGAAACUGGGCUUUUUAUUUGGUAUAAGAAUGACGCUGGGAGGGGGAGGCCCAUGAAAAAGGCCCCGCCGCCGGUCCUACUCCUUCCUGCCCAGGCCCCAGCAUAUCUGUCGUUCGCCUGGUAUUGUGGUUCUUUUGGAAUGUUACAAACAUUUCUUAAAAAUUACAUGAAUAACUUUUUACACUAUAUUAACAUUUUUCUAAAAGUGUGUUUAAAUUUUUCAAAAAUUUAAGUAAAUUAAUGUUUGAUUAUGUGUAUUUAGAAUAUUUCUAAAUAGAAACAAAUGUAAUUUUUAUAGAAACCUAGAAACAAAUGUAAUAAAACAGAAAAAAUGCAUACGUGCACUAGCUCGUAAAAGUGUGAGCCUCGCUCGUGUCACGCAUUGGGCCUGGCCCAACUAGGGGAGCUGCACGCGUUGUUGUCUAAAAAAGAAGAAUCGUUUUAAGAGCAACUCUAGCAGAUGUUGUAUAUUUCCAUCCCGCAAAAACAGGUUAUGGCUCCCCCUAAAACGAAUUUACGGUAUGAUAUGUGUGUCGGCAGAAUAGAUCCCGUAUAAAUUGUUAUAAAUUAGCAUAAAGUCCCCUAAAAGCAAAAUCUAAAUUCCAAUUGGAUCCAUGCACGACCAAGGCGAAGAUGAGGAUGGCGUUGAUGCCAUAAUGCAGGUUGGGGUUGCACAGGGAGAUGGUCACCACGGCGUUGUACGACAGGAGCUGGAGCGGCGGCCUCGUAGUGGAGUUGGGGGCCGGGGCAAGCUCGAAGCACGUGAGAAAGGGCGUUGUUGGCGCUGGCCGUAGGUGGCUUCACAAUGAUGAAGGUGAAGAUGAGGAUGGCAAGGACGAGAUGGCGGCCGUGGUCCAGCUGCAGCACUCCCACUCGCACUACUGCCACCAUUCGUGAGACCAAUCACGCUGCCAGAAGCCCGCGGGUUGCUCAGCUGAUUAGUAGAUCUUUCCGGGUGGAGGCUGGGGGAGGUGGCUCAACUAGGAGCGUGGAGCUGGAGCAUGCAUGACAAGGGGAGAAGAAGGGGUCUAGAGCCGGAGACUUGUGUCAAGGGGUGGGUCCUGGGACGCCGUCGUCCCCGUCGCUUGAGUGUGGCCGCGUCCGGGGAAGGGGAGCGGCACGACCGUGUCUAGGGGAAGGGAUGUGGCGCCCGGAUAAUUAAGCUAUAGUAACUUUCUACUAAUGAUGCCACGUCACCUCGAUUACUGUUGCUAAUCUCACGUUAGUUCGAAACUGAUUUAAAUUCAAAUUCAAAAUCAAGCAAACAAUAAAAGUUUUCAAAUAUUAAAACUAAAAUGUUCGGGGUGAGCCAAAUAAUCCAUACUAAAUAUUGGUGUAGAAACCACACUCCUCUAAAGUAUUUAAAUGCACCAUCGCAAUUAAAACAGCGGCAAAACUGUUAUUUAAUAAAUACUUUUAAAUAAUAAAUAAUUACAAAACUAUUUUAUUUAGGUGCCAAAAUUAAUGUGGCAGUAGUAUAUUUAUAAAUACAAAUUUAGGUGCUAGUGUUAAUUUUUAUAAAACUGAAAUAAAAAGGAACAAAAAUAAAACAGAAAAAAAGGAAAAGACUAAACAAAGAAAUAAAGUCAAACAAGAGAAAAGAGAAAAGCCCCCACCCCCCACUGGGCCACGGCCCAGCUAACCGGCCAGCCCACUAACCUAGCCGGCCCACCCCCACUCCCCAUAGCCCCCCACUCCACCCCGAAACCCUAACCGAACCAACCCACUCCCCCCUCACUCCCUCGUCCCCCCGAUNNNNNNNNNNNNNNNNNNNNNNNNNNNNNNNNNNNNNNNNNNNNNNNNNNNNNNNNNNNNNNNNNNNNNNNNNNNNNNNNNNNNNNNNNNNNNNNNNNNNNNNNNNNNNNNNNNNNNNNNNNNNNNNNNNNNNNNNNNNNNNNNNNNNNNNNNNNNNNNNNNNNNNNNNNNNNNNNNNNNNNNNNNNNNNNNNNNNNNNNNNNNNNNNNNNNNNNNNNNNNNNNNNNNNNNNNNNNNNNNNNNNNNNNNNNNNNNNNNNNNNNNNNNNNNNNNNNNNNNNNNNNNNNNNNNNNNNNNNNNNNNNNNNNNNNNNNNNNNNNNNNNNNNNNNNNNNNNNNNNNNNNNNNNNNNNNNNNNNNNNNNNNNNNNNNNNNNNNNNNNNNNNNNNNNNNNNNNNNNNNNNNNNNNNNNNNNNNNNNNNNNNNNNNNNNNNNNNNNNNNNNNNNNNNNNNNNNNNNNNNNNNNNNNNNNNNNNNNNNNNNNNNNNNNNNNNNNNNNNNNNNNNNNNNNNNNNNNNNNNNNNNNNNNNNNNNNNNNNNNNNNNNNNNNNNNNNNNNNNNNNNNNNNNNNNNNNNNNNNNNNNNNNNNNNNNNNNNNNNNNNNNNNNNNNNNNNNNNNNNNNNNNNNNNNNNNNNNNNNNNNNNNNNNNNNNNNNNNNNNNNNNNNNNNNNNNNNNNNNNNNNNNNNNNNNNNNNNNNNNNNNNNNNNNNNNNNNNNNNNNNNNNNNNNNNNNNNNNNNNNNNNNNNNNNNNNNNNNNNNNNNNNNNNNNNNNNNNNNNNNNNNNNNNNNNNNNNNNNNNNNNNNNNNNNNNNNNNNNNNNNNNNNNNNNNNNNNNNNNNNNNNNNNNNNNNNNNCCACCACCUCCAGCCGCGUCCCCCUGCGCCCGCUCCGCCCAGCCGGUUCGCGACCACCCCUCCGCCGUCUCCCCUGGUCCUGGCCGCCGGCGAGCGCCGUGCGUGCCCAGCGCCCCUCGGGCAUGCGCCCGUUCGGGCUAUGCCCGUUAACCAGCGCGCCCGUUCCAGUGGCCCAUUGGCCACUGACAGCCGGGGCCCGGAACCUUGAGAACGUUUAUAAAAAAAAGAAAUAAAAAAUAUAAAGAAAUAAUAAAAAUAAAAAUAAUUAACUUAAUUAAUUUUGAUUAAUUAAACUAAACAACCAAUUAAGCUAAUUAAACAUUAGUUACCUAAUUAACCUAAUUAGCUAAUUAAGUAGUCAAUGACAGUGGGGCCCACCCCUAAUUAAUCCUGAUUAGGUUAAUUAAUAUGUUUACUUAAAAUAUGUCACUGACCAGUGGGACCCACUGGUCAGGUUGACCAGUCAACCCCUGUUGGCUGCUGACGUUAGCAUGACAUCAUGCUGAUGUCGUAAAUCCAGUUUCGAAUUAAAUUAAUUCUGUUAAUUCUAAAAAUGAUUUUAAACUUUGAAAAUUAAUAUAAAAUAAACUGUACCUCGGAUGAAAAUACUUUGUACAUGAAAGUUGCUCAGAACGACGAGACGAAUCCAGAUACGCAGCCCGUUCGUCCGUCACACACCCCUAGCAUAUCGAACACGCAACUUUCCCCCUCCGGUUCAUCUGUCCGAAAACGCGAAACACCGAGAAUACUUUCCCGGAUGUUUUCCCCCUUCACCGGUAUCACCUCAUACCGCGUUAGAACACGUCUAGCUCUGCCUGUUGUCCUGUUAUGCACUUGCUUGCUAUGUAUUUACUGUUUCUCCCCCUCUUCUCUUCGGUAGACCCCGUGACGAUGUUGAUGCCCCUGUGAUCGACUACGGUGUUGACGACCCCUCCUUGCCAGAACAACCAGGCAAGCCCCCCCCCUUGAUCACCAGAUAUCACCUAUUCUUCUCUAUACAGCUUGCAUUAGAGUAGUGUAGCAUGUUACUGCUUUCGGUUAAUCCUAUACUGAUGCAUAGCCUGUCAUUGUUGCUACAGUUGUUACCCUUACCUGCUAUCCUACUGCUUAGUAUAGGAUGCUAGUGUUCCAUCAGUGGCCCUACACUCUUGUCCGUCUGCCAUGCUAUACUACUGGGCCGUGAUCACUUCGGGAGGUGAUCACGGGUAUAUACUAUAUACUUUUUAUACAUGACACAUGUGGUGACUAAAGUCGGGUCGGCUCGUUGAGUACCCGCAAGUGAUUCUGAUGAGGGGGCUGAAAGGACAGGUGGCUCCAUCCCGGUAGAGGUGGGCCUGGGUUCCUGACGGCCCCCGACUGUUACUUUGUGGCGGAGCGACAGGGCAGGUUGAGACCACCUAGGAGAAAGGUGGGCCUGGCCAUGGUCGGCGUUCGCGGAUACUUAACACGCUUAACGAGAUCUUGGUAUUUGAUCUGAGUCUGGCCAUUAGGUCUAUACGCACUAACCAACUACGCGGGAACAGUUAUGGGUACUCGACGUCGUGGUAUUAGCCGAAGCUCUUUUUGACGUCAGCAACGGAGCGGCGCGCGCCGGAUUGGACUGGAACGCCUGCUAGGCUAGGUCUGCUUCCGGCCGCCCUCGCAACGUGCAGGUGUGCAAUGGGCGAUGGGCCCAGACCCCUGCGCGCAUAGGAUUUAGACCGGCGUGCUGACCUCUCUGUUGAGCCUAGGUGGGGCUGCGACGUGUUGAUCUUCCGAGGCCGGGCAUGACCCAGGAAAGUGUGUCCGGCCAAAUGGGAUCAAGCGUGUUGGGUUAUGUGGUGCACCCCUGCAGGGAAGUUUAUCUAUUCGAAUAGCCGUGUCCCUCGGUAAAAGGACGACCCGGAGUUGUACCUUGACCUUAUGACAACUAGAACUGGAUACUUAAUAAAACACACCCUUCCAAGUGCCAGAUAUAACCCGGUGACCGCUCUCUAACAGGGCGACGAGGAGGGGAUCGCCUGGUAGGAUUAUGCUAUGCGAUGCUACUUGGUGAACCUACCAUCUACUCUCUUCUACAUGCUGCAAGAUGGAGGUGGCCAGAAGCGUAGUCUUCGACAGGAUUAGCUAUCCCCCUCUUAUUCUGGCAUUCUACAGUUCAGUCCACCGAUAUGGCCCUUUACACAUAUACCCAUGCAUAUGUAGUGUAGCUCCUUGCUUGCGAGUAUUUUGGAUGAGUACUCACGGUUGCUUUUCUCCCUCUUUUCCCCUUUCUAUACCUGGUUGUCGCAACCAGAUGCUGGAGUCCAGGAGCUAGAGAUCCCGAGGAUGAUUCUACGUGGAGUUCAGCUUCGAGGAGUAGUUAGGAGGUCCCAGGCAGGAGGCCUUGCCUUUUCGAUCGUUGCUACUUUUGUGCUAGCCUUCUUGAGGCAAACUUGUUUAACUUAUGUCUGUACUUAGAUAUUGUUGCUUCCGCUGACUCGUCUAUGAUCGAGCACUUGUAUUCGAGCCCUCGAGGCUCCUGGCUUGUAUUAUGAUGCUUGUAUGACUUAUUUAUGUUUUAGAGUUGUGUUGUGAUAUCUUCCCGUGAGUCCUUGAUCUCGACCGUACACGUUUGCGUGCAUGAUUAGUGUACGAUUGAAUUGGGGGCGUCACAAGUUGGUAUCAGAGCCGACUGCCUGUAGGAAUCCCCCUUCCAAACUCCUUGGCCGAAGUCGAGUCUAGUCAUUGAAAAACUUCUACUAACAUGGCUGUGUGGCUUAUGGGCCCAUGUCGCCAUUGGGUGGUAUUAGGAUCUUUUACUCCUUGUCUAUACUCUGGGACUCUGAUCUCUCUUCUAUUCGGGUUAAGUGAAUUUUGCUAAAUCUAACAUUAGGAUCUCGUUAUCACUUUCACCCGGAGAGCCCCUUAUUACUGAUGAUCGUCUGCUGCACGUGAAGACCCUGAAGAUACUCUCCGCUGAUAACCCGAGAACUUGUGUUCAUCGCUUUUGCAAUUCCCUUUCAUCGAUAAACUCCUAUGGAUAACCACGUAUACUCGCCAUUCAUACAAUGUUUCCCAGUUGAUCUUGUUAUUACAAGAUACCCCGAAAUUUUCUCUCUGUUGUUCCGAGAAUCCUUUUUGCCUACUGCCUUGCUGUUCUUUGCCACAUGAAUACCACUAUGGAUGAUUUCUAGCACUCACCGGAUAUUUGCUCAUCCCCAGUUGAUUCAUGUAUUUCACAAAAGUCUUCAAAAUACUAUUUGAACUUCCGAAAAUCCUGAGUAGCCUAUUGCUCUUGAAAUUCUUACUUGCUUGCAUUAUGGUUAAUCCCAUAAGUCUACAAUCUUAUUGGCAUCUCUUGUCAUUAUCAUUUUGAGUCCAUUGAUUCAAUUUGUUGCGAAUGCUCGCAAUCCUCAAUCAGAUCCUAGAAUUCAUCCUUCCGGCUCAUACGUCAUUUUAAACGUGAGCUGGUUCUCGCCAAUCAAAUUGUCGUCGAUUGUGUCCCUAAGUCUAUUGAACUUAUCCAUCCUUGAUCAGAGCGUCUGCUUCUGAUCCUUCGCGUUGUAAAUCAUAAUUCCUUUGCAAUUGAGCUCUAAGUUACUCAGUUGUUUCUAUAAUCCAAUGUCUUUGCAUUGAUUCUUCCUCUGGUUGUGAGCCGAUACUCACAUCAGAUCCUUUAUGGACCAUCAGAACCUUGUUGGAUUUUAUCCGACAACGUCCUUCAUAUUCAAUCACUUUGGAAGUUCUUUCCCUGAUACAUAAUGCCUUUGGUAAAUCCUAUUCCUUGAUUUGGCCAACCAUGCUCUGUUUUUGAGCUGGUGAUUUUACUCUUGAAGUUUGAGGUAUAUGUUUCUAAGAUUCCCCGAUGGAUUGAACCUAUACCUUCCCUAAAAACCGUAUGAACCCGAAGGUUUUCACAAGCCAUACCCUGCUGGUAUUUUACCAGAUAAUUUUCUACCAUACAACUUCAUCGAAUGCAAGAAGUGAAUGAAAGGUUAUGCAUUGGAGAAGUGGGAGUCGACCUUGAACUUUGUGUUCAUGCCCAUGGACACGAUGUAGAUCUUAUCAUUAAAAGCUUCUCUUAAAUUAAUUAUUCCCUUGGUAUAAGUUCAUCUUAUAUCUGGGAUCUGGCCUUUUGCAAUCGUGGUUAUGACCAUGUUCUCCUUUAAAUACCAUUUCUCGUACAAGUUAAGCACUUGUCUUCUGCAGAGCAAUACCCCAGUCCAACCUCUACUUUGGUUUGUCGUCGAGUAUUACCCCCUGGUAUCUCGAGAUUAUCACGGAACUGCAUAACUUCUUAUGAGUUCUUCAUCAAGUACUACAUUCUCACUGAUUACAGUUUUUCACGGGCUUCGAGUUAUUAAACACUCAAGGACAUCGAUAACUGAAUUGAGUCUGCGUCGCGAUUAAACAACUCUUAGUAAUCUUCUUUACUUGCGAGUUUGUACUCGAUCACGUCAUUCCUAGCCUGAUUGGCUAUAUAAUUAUCGUGCUAAAUUUUAACUGUGCUACCGGGUCCUUCUUCCCAGAUCACAAAUUGCGACAGUGAGCUAAUCUUACAAUCGAUCUUCCUCGUCAUAUCACUUCUCCUUGAACAGCAAACUUGAUUUCGAGUUUGUGUCCUAACCGUGGUUCCAAUAACCUUUCGUUUUCAUCAUUCCUUUGACUUGAUGCCAUCGUCGAUCAAUUACAUCUUCUUGAUAACCUCUCGACGAAUCUGUCGUGAUCAUUGUCAACAAUUUGACUUCUUCCAAGUUGUGUGUCAAAAUUCAGGAUGAGAAAUACCAUCCUUGCCCCUCGAUGAAUUGUGUUAUCAUCGACAACAUUCUUGCCUCCCCCCAACACAAACUUGUUCAUAUUUUGUGUUGUAUCUUGAUUUCCCAGCUAUCCAACUUAUGUUAUGUUCUACCAUGGAGUAUUACCAUCUUUGAUGUCAAGAAUGUCGUGAGCAUUACUCCACCUCUUAAGAAUUCUUGGUACAGUGAUACUUCUCACCAUCACCAUUCUUUCUUGGUCCCCGUGUUGUCUCUAAACGAAAUACCGACAAAUGGUCUGUGAUGUGUAAAUUCUAAACUUCUAGCAACCUUAUUGCUUUGAAGUUAUUGGUCUAUAGUUUCAUUCUACGUCUAUGGCUUAAUGAAUCAUCAUUCGAACAUUGAUCGUGCUACCUAACCCAUAUUUCGGGUGCACAUUUCAACCAAUGUUUAACUGUGUAUGUUUUCCUCGAGCAUACAUCAUUAAGUCAUUCGAUCUAGCUAAUGUUAUCUCCUUGUUCACAUGACUGUGGAAACCCAUCUUUUUGGAUAUCUCGUUGAAAUAUCGCGGAGUCCAUCAGCCACCUCCUCAUCCUCUCCUUGGCUUAAUGAUGAACCCUUGUUCAGAACUCGCUUCCAUAGUUCAUUUCCCGAGAAUCUUACAAUGUCAUCUCGUCAAUUGGUGUUGCACAUUUUCUUCUCAGGCAUCCCGAAUCUGAGGUAUCCUGACACCAAUCAGAUCUGAAUCUCGGUCAGAUAUGAUGGUUGAAACAUUUUCCAAGAGUUAUAACAUUGGUCUUCUUGUGACCCAGUAAGGCGAUGUCAUGCCUAGCACACAUGUCCCGAGGACCUGUUGUUAUUGUUUCCUUUUUAGCAAGGUUAUCCAUUCUUCCAUGAGGAAAUUGUAAGACUUAUUCUCCCAGUUAUUCCUGAUGCAUCCAUUGAGUAUCCAAAGUCCGACCCUUGCUUGAAGACCAUGUCAAUGCUAUCCCGAAGCAUGUCUGUGGUACUCCGAUUUUCGACAAGAACAUUUGAAGCCCAAUGCUAAAUGUUUUCUUGCUCAAUUAUCCAAACACCGUUGUAUGGGUAAUGUCAUGAAAUUUCUCUCCCCUUACCUAAAGAGUUUUCUACAUUAUAUCCUGUCAUGGAUAUCAUGCUCUGCUUGUCCUUGGGAAGGAUAUACCCUUGAAAUAUGUGUUUAAACACAUUUUCCUUUCCAUUGUUCUGUUUAAUCUGGUAAUCAUAUUUUCCUUUCCAUUGGUUGGUUUAACGUUUCUGGUGAUCAUUAUGAUCUAAGCAGUAUUAAUCCCCUGCUUGUGCAAACACCUCGGUGUACAACUCUGUCAGUAAGACCCUGUUACUAUUGUUGGUGACAUUCCGGUAACCACCGAUGGACGAGAACUUUGCCUAUUGGUCCGCCUCGUUUCAACGAGCAGGAAAAUGGUUCUCUUCGUCCCUCGCCCUUGGUACCAACGUUGUUGCCAACAUAACUGACAGGCUACCCUCUGACAUGUCUUGCUAUCAUGACCGUGUAAGAUGCCAACGGCCUUCCUACUUUUAACCACAUGGCGGGCCCAUAACCCACAGUUCCACAGGAUCGAAACUUGACUCUCCUGUACCCCCAUGUUGCCAAAGUUAUUCCUCGCGCUUGAUUUCGUAUAUAAUUCAUGGGUCAUCUUCCUAGUAAUAUACUUUGGUAUCAGACGCAAUACUUAUUCUCGUUGAUCUGGACCCCUUUCACACUUUGUUCAGGCAUCGAACGAUUGCCGACCCGCUUAAACUUCUCAUAGUACCUUCUUACUUUGCUCUCGAAAUUUUCUUAAGUUUUAGUUCGAGAGUUACUUUCCGCCACCUUCCCCCGAUGUUAGCUACUAGGUAGUCAACCUUGCAGAGGUCCGUUCUUUCGGAAUAACCACCCUUUAUUCUUUCGUAAGUACGAUGGAGUUCCCGAAGAAAGGAUGACGACUUGAUCAUGGUGACUUGAAGCAGAGAAAUGAAGACAUCAACAUAAUGGAUCAACCUCUUCGAGAAGAGCAACCAAGACCGAGAAGAAUCGUUAGAAUUUCAUAACCUAUUCUUCCCCCUUACUCCCCUCUUAAAUCUCGGGACGAGAUUUCUUGUAGUGGAGGAGAAUUGUGAUGCCCGAAUAAUUAAGCUACAGUAACUUUCUACUAAUGAUGCCACGUCACCUCGAUUACUGUUGCUAAUCUCACGUUAGUUCGAAACUGAUGCAAAUUCAAAAUCAAAAUCAAGCAAACAAUAAAAGUUUUCAAAUAUUAAAACUAAAAUGUUCGGGGUGAGCCAAAUAAUCCAUACUAAAUAUUGGUGUAGAAACCACACUCCUCUAAAGUAUUUAAAUGCACCAUAGUAAUUAAAACAGCGGCAAAACUGUUAUUUAAUAAAUACUUUUAAAUAAUAAAUAAUUACAAAACUAUUUUAUUUAGGUGCCAAAGUUAAUGUGGCAGUAGUAUAUUUAUAAAUACAAAUUUAGGUGCUAGUGUUAAUUUUUAUAAAACUGAAAUAAAAAGGAACAAAAAUAAAACAGAAAAAAGGAAAAGACUAAACAAAGAAAUAAAGUCAAACAAGAGAAAAGAGAAAAGCCCCCACCCCCCACUGGGCCACGGCCCAGCUAACCGGCCAGCCCACUAACCUAGCCGGCCCAUCCCCACUCCCCAUAGCCCCCCACUCCACCCCGAAACCCUAACCGAACCAACCCACUGCCCCCUCACUCCCUCGUCUCUCCCUCCCCNNNNNNNNNNNNNNNNNNNNNNNNNNNNNNNNNNNNNNNNNNNNNNNNNNNNNNNNNNNNNNNNNNNNNNNNNNNNNNNNNNNNNNNNNNNNNNNNNNNNNNNNNNNNNNNNNNNNNNNNNNNNNNNNNNNNNNNNNNNNNNNNNNNNNNNNNNNNNNNNNNNNNNNNNNNNNNNNNNNNNNNNNNNNNNNNNNNNNNNNNNNNNNNNNNNNNNNNNNNNNNNNNNNNNNNNNNNNNNNNNNNNNNNNNNNNNNNNNNNNNNNNNNNNNNNNNNNNNNNNNNNNNNNNNNNNNNNNNNNNNNNNNNNNNNNNNNNNNNNNNNNNNNNNNNNNNNNNNNNNNNNNNNNNNNNNNNNNNNNNNNNNNNNNNNNNNNNNNNNNNNNNNNNNNNNNNNNNNNNNNNNNNNNNNNNNNNNNNNNNNNNNNNNNNNNNNNNNNNNNNNNNNNNNNNNNNNNNNNNNNNNNNNNNNNNNNNNNNNNNNNNNNNNNNNNNNNNNNNNNNNNNNNNNNNNNNNNNNNNNNNNNNNNNNNNNNNNNNNNNNNNNNNNNNNNNNNNNNNNNNNUGGGCCGGCACCCCGCUGGCGCCCCGUGCCGCGCCUCGCGUCGGCGAGCCCGCCCCGGCUCCCCUGCAGUUGCUCGCUACGGCCGUCGCCUUCGUCCCGCACUUGUCGCUCCGCCCCUGGCCUCGUCGCCGAGCGCCUCCCCUGCCACCACCACCUCCAGCCGCGUCCCCCUGCGCCCGCUCCGCCCAGCCAGUUCGCGACCACCCCUCCGCCUUCUCCCCUGGUCCUGGCCGCCGGCGAGCGCCGUGCGUGCCCAGCGCACCUCGGGCAUGCCCGUUAACCAGCGCGCCCGUUCCAGUGGCCCAUUGGCCACUGACAGCCGGGGCCCGGAACCCUGAGAACGUUUAUAAAAAAAGAAAUAAAAAAUAUAAAUAAAUAAAAAUAAUUAACUUAAUUAAUUUUGAUUAAUUAAACUAAACAACCAAUUAAGCUAAUUAAACAUUAGUUACCUAAUUAACCUAAUUAGCUAAUUAAGUAGUCAAUGACAGUGGGGCCCACCCCUAAUUAAUCCUGAUUAGGUUAAUUAAUAUGUUUACUUAAAAUGUGUCACUGACCAGUGGGACCCACUGGUCAGGUUGACCAGUCAACCCCUGUUGGCUGCUGACGUCGGCAUGACAUCAUGCUGAUGUCAUAAAUCCAGUUUCGAAUUAAAUUAAUUCUGUUAAUUCUAAAAAUGAUUUUAAACUUUGAAAAUUAAUAUAAAAUAAACCGUACCUCGGAUGAAAAUACUUUGUACAUGAAAGUUGCUCAGAACGACGAGACGAAUCCAGAUAUGCAGCCCGUUCGUCCGCCACACACCCCUAGAAUAUCGAACACGCAACUUUCCCCCUCCGGUUCAUCUGUCCGAAAACGCGAAACACAGGGAAUACUUUCCCGGAUGUUUCCCCCUUCACCGGUAUCACCUCAUACCACGUUAGAACACGUCUAGCUCUGCCUGUUGUCCUGUUAUGCACUUGCUUGCUAUGUAUUUACUGUUUCUCCCCCCUCUUCUCUUCGGUAGACCCCGUGACGAUGCUGAUGCCCCUGCGAUCGACUACGGUGUUGACGACCCCUCCUUGCCAGAACAACCAGGCAAGCCCCCACCCCUUGAUCACCAGAUAUCACCUAUUCUUCUCUAUACAGCUUGCAUUAGAGUAGUGUAGCAUGUUACUGCUUUCGGUUAAUCCUAUACUGAUGCAUAGCCUGUCAUUGUUGCUACAGUUGUUACCCUUACCUGCUAUCCUACUGCUUAGUAUAGGAUGCUAGUGUUCCAUCAGUGGCCCCCUACACUGUUGUCCGUCUGCCAUGCUACUACUGGGCCGUGAUCACUUCGGGAGGUGAUCACGGGUAUAUACUAUAUACUUUUUACACAUGACACAUGUGGUGACUAAAGUCGGGUCGGCUCGUUGAGUACCCACAAGUGAUUCUGAUGAGGGGGCUGAAAGGACAGGUGGCUCCAUCCCGAUAGAGGUGGGCCUGGGUUCCUGACGGCCCCCGACUGUUACUUUGUGGCGGAGCGACAGGGCAGGUUGAGACCACCUAGGAGAAAGGUGGGCCUGGCCCUGGUCGGCGUUCGCGGAUACUUAACAUGCUUAACGAGAUCUUGGUAUUUGAUCUGAGUCUGGCCAUUAGGUCUAUACGCACUAACCAACUACGCGGGAACAGUUAUGGGCACUCGACGUCGUGGUAUCAGCCGAAGCUCUUUUUGACGUCAGCGACGGAGCGGCGCGCUCCGGAUUGGACUGGAACGCCUGCUAGGCUAGGUCUGCUUCCGGCCGCCCUCGCAACGUGCAGGUGUGCAAUGGGCGAUGGGCCCAGACCCCUGCGCGCAUAGGAUUUAGACCGGCGUGCUGACCUCUCUGUUGAGCCUAGGUGGGGCUGCGACGUGUUGAUCUUCCGAGGCCGGGCAUGACCCAGGAAAGUGUGUCCGGCCAAAUGGGAUCAAGCGUGUUGGGUUAUGUGGUGCACCCCUGCAGGGAAGUUUAUCUAUUCGAAUAGCCGUGUCCCUCGGUAAAAGGACGACCCGGAGUUGUACCUUGACCUUAUGACAACUAGAACUGGAUACUUAAUAAAACACACCCUUCCAAGUGCCAGAUAUAACCCGGUGAUCGCUCUCUAACAGGGCGACGAGGAGGGGAUCGCCGGGUAGGAUUAUGCUAUGCGAUGCUACUUGGUGAACCUACCAUCUACUCUCUUCUACAUGCUGCAAGAUGGAGGUGGCCAGAAGUGUAGUCUUCGACAGGAUUAGCUAUCCCCCUCUUAUUCUGGCAUUCUGCAGUUCAGUCCACCGAUAUGGCCCUUUACACAUAUACCCAUGCAUAUGUAGUGUAGCUCCUUGCUUGCGAGUAUUUUGGAUGAGUACUCACGGUUGCUUUUCUCCCUCUUUUCCCCUUUCUAUACCUGGUUGUCGCAACCAGAUGCUAGAGUCCAGGAGCUAGAGAUCCCGAGGAUGAUUCUACGUGGAGUUCAGCUUCGAGGAGUAGUUAGGAGGUCCCAGGCAGGAGGCCUUGCCUUUUCGAUCGUUGCUACUUUUGUGCUAGCCUUCUUGAGGCAAACUUGUUUAACUUAUGUCUGUACUUAGAUAUUGUUGCUUCCGCUGACUCGUCUAUGAUCGAGCACUUGUAUUAGAGCCCUCGAGGCUCCUGGCUUGUAUUAUGAUGCUUGUAUGACUUAUUUAUGUUUUAGAGUUGUGUUGUGAUAUCUUCCUGUGAGUCCUUGAUCUCGACCGUACACGUUUGCGUGCAUGAUUAGUGUACGAUUGAAUUGGGGGCGUCACAAGGGAGCAGCACUGCCGGCAGCAGGGAUGGCCGGAAUCGAGUUUUGAUCCGUGGCGGCGGUGCCAGGGAUGGCCGGCGCGGGAGUCAACCGUUUCUCAUUUUACAGGUUCGUGCAAAAACUGCCCCCGAUUCUUUUUUUUGAAUGUCGGCAGUAGAACUGCCAAAUUCAUUGGUCAGAAGAAGGUAUUACAAGAGCUCCUCCAAGUGAGGAAAGCACGGCAAAAAGGCUAGUGUAAAAAGAAAAGAAAGAAAAAAGGAUCCUGCCGGCACCACCACAAACCCAAGCUCCUCUUGCAACCAUGCACACCAUCGAAAUCCAUUGUCGAGGACUCCAAGAUAACGCCUCCAAGGAGGAAGUGAUAUCGAGGACAUCAACGUCACCCGAUCUGACGGUGCCAGAUCUUAGGUUUUCACCCGGAGACCUCAGCCAUGGGGUAGGAAGAGCAAACGAGCUCCACAACGAUACCUCCAAGGAAGAAGAUGUCGUUACCGUCGGCAUCGACAAAGUCAAUGCAAGAUUUUCAUCCGGAGAUCAGUCUUCUACCAACCAUCUAGGAACCGAGACCAACCGCGCGCCACCGGGCGGAGCAAGACCAAGCACACACUGCCAAACACGAAGAUUGUCACCGCCGCACGCAGAAACCCAUCGAGCUCAUGAUACGUCCAUUUUGCAUCAUUGUCGUGGAAUUGUCACGGCAGAUGUCCUCGGGUUAGGACUUAGUCGUGGAGCCAUCGCAAUUGGGAAGCUUGAAGGGGUUAAGUGGGACAAGGAACACGAGGGUUUAUACUGGUUCGGCCCCUUACGGUGAAGGUAAAAGCCUACGUCCAGUUGAGGUGGUAUUAAUCAGGGUUUCGAUAACCAGGGAGCUAAACAGCUAUGCCCGGCUCUCGAUCAGAUUGUUGUCGCCCCUAAACCGCUGCCGGGUCGUCCCUUUAUAUAGGGAGGUUGACACCCAGCGGCCCUUAGAGUCCCGGCCGGCUCAUAAGAGUGUCCGGCUCGGACUCUAAACAAUACUUGCCUUACACUACAAGUCUACUAUAACAAUAAAGAUUGUACUACGGGCUUUAAGCCAUCGCCGGGUCUCAGCCCAUCUCUGGCCCAUUAUCUUGAAACUUAGCUCCGGGCUUCUGGCAAUGACCCUUAGUGUAACCCGGCCCUCCUGGCGGGUGACUCCCAGGUCUAUAUCCUCAACAUUAGGCCCCAGAUUGACUUGAGCCGGCUCGUGUCAAUCUUCAACUCUGCCGACAGAAAAAUCUCCGGCUUACCGUUCGUGUGAAGGCCAUAACCCGGAGUGACGUCAUUCUCCGGACUCCGGAUAAUCCGCCGUGACGUCAUCCUCCAUUAAGUCCGGUUUUUUACUCCGCCAGAUCCGCAACGGAUCUCUGCUUUUACUGUUUUUGCGAAAAUUGAGGCGCCGUGAGGGGGAGAUAACCACGCCGUGGUCUCCUUGAAUCUCGCGCCCACUUAUGACUUACCUUAUAAAUAGGCCGGCCCGGCACUCUCUUCUCACACUCUCCUUCUUCUUCCUCGCGCUGUCGUUCCUCUGCCCGAGCUUCUGCCGCCGCCGCCGCCGUCGCGCCCCUGAUCUUCAUCGACCCGGCCGCUGCAUCACCCUGACCCGGACCAGAUAACGGCGGCGACCUUCGCUCUUCCUCAACUCCGGUGAGUCUUCUCUUCCUUGCUAGAACAGAUCUGUGGUAGGGUUCCUCCCGUUCUUCGUGUUCGUCACCUUUGCCCAGAAACUCGGCAGUCCUCGUCACCACUGUAGUCGGUUGAUCUUUAUCCUUGCGUAAAACCACUGCGGUAGACGUUCGGAACUCAUUUCAUCUGCAAGAAAUCCUCUUUUUACUGCAUAAGAACUGUGUUCAACCUCAAGAACUUCUCCUGCCUCUGUUUUUUAGGUCUAGAAAAUUUUCUCUGCUCCAACUAUUUUGAUCCAAAAAAAGUCACGGUAGUAUGUGAAACCUGUUUACCACACUUAGUAAAAACGCAACCAUUGAAUCUCGGUGGCUUACAUGUCCGGUUUAAAGAGAACCAUGCUCUGUAAAAUCUUCCGACUUAACUGCAGUAAGCCGUAGAUGACCAACUUAACCUGAAAGCCCCGACAGCUUAGAUAACCCACCAUAUCAAUAUGUAUCAUUAGUCCCCUUCAUAAGCCGUCACUGUAGUUUGAAUGAUAAUCCCCGGCUUAUAAUUAACCCGGACACUUUUCUCUUCCUCAUAGACCACCAACCGUCACCAUGCCUCCCAAGGCUCCCAUCACUUGCAACUGGAUGAAAUCCAACGUCACCGAAGAGACCCUGGCCAACUUUGUUAAGUCCGGAUAUCUGCCCAAGAAGGAAGUGAUGUCCUACCGUGCCCCUGACCCGUCCGAAGAAAGACCUCAGCCGAGGGACGGGGAGGUAGUGAUCUUUGCAGACCAUAUGAGCCGGGGCUUCGCACCGCCCGGCUCAAAAUUCUUCCGGGACGUGCUCAACUUCUUUGACCUUCGGCCUCAGGAUAUAGGACCCAAUUCCAUAUCCAACAUCUGCAACUUCCAAGUUUUUUGUGAAGUAUAUCUUGGAGAAGAGCCGAGUCUGCUGCUCUUCAGAGAGCUGUUUUAUUUGAACCGCCAAACCGAGUGCGCAAACGGUCCAAGUCUAGAGUUAGGCGGCAUCUCCAUCCAACGGCGCAGGGACUGUCUAUUUCCUUACGCAGAACUGCCAAGUCACCCCAAGGACUGGAACAUGACUUGGUUCUACUGCCAAGACACGUCCCCGGCUGAUGAGAGCCCGCUGCCCGGCUUUCGCCCAACGCGCCUGGAGCCGACUCAUCCGCUAUCCGACAAGCUGACUGCCGCGGAACGCCAGCCUCUGCUUCCAACGAUCAAUAAGAUCAAGGCCCUGCUAGGCAACGGUCUGAACGGAAUAGACCUGGUCCGGGUCUGGAUCUCAUGGCGGGUGAUCCCAUUGAGCCGCCGCCCCGGCUUAAUGUGUGAGUACACCGGGCGAAAGGAUGACCCGCAGAGGCACAGUCGCAACGACCUUCCAGAAGACGUUGCCGAAGAAGAGACCAAGGCUCUAUUAAACGAGAGCCUGGCAGACUGUGGAAAAACCGGGCUAGCCCCAUUCUGCAAGACCAAUCCAGCCCCAGCGGUAAGCCGCUGACUUUAACCUUUCCAUUUUUUUACCUGUCAUCUUACUAAGAACUCAUUACUGUAUUUCUCAGGCUGAUGAUAAAUUCUGGCGGGUCAAGUAUGACCAUGAGGCGGCCAAGAAGGCCAGGAAGGCGAAGAAAGCCGCCCCUCGCAAAAAGGGAAACAGACCCACUGCUUCGGAGCUGCUGCAAUUAAGCGAUAGCUCCGAGUCAGAGGUAACCCUUAAACCUUUAAACUCUUGCCAUAUUUAUUGUUUGCUGCUGUCCACUUUACCAUCAUUUUGCUUAUUGACAGGAUGACACCGGCGCCAGUAACCCGGUGAUUGAAGAGGUAACAUUACUCCCCUCCGACUCGGAGCCUUUGCCACAGCUGAAAGUCCGAAGGGUAACCCGGAAAGUAAGCUUUUCUCAUCCAUUAGCUCAUCAAGACCCUCAAUUUCUUUUGAAGCAGCAGGUUCACGAAAGCCGGCGUCUCACCCGGGCCCGCAAGGACACCGACCUCUCCGCCGGGUUACCCGACGCGACAAGGAAACGUCGCACCGAGGUCUUUUCUCACUUGUACCCUUUUCAUCCGUUGGCGGGUGUUAUCCGUCAACUGCUUAAUUCUUCUGACUCCAAUUACCAGGAGACCUCCCCUUCUUCUGGUGACUCCAUGCAGUCAAGUCUGCCGGCCUUCAAAACUGCACCCGGGUAAUAACAAUCACCUUACAUUACCUGUCUGUAUUUACUCUUUGUAUGCCUAACACUUCUGUCUUUUCAGUGCCCAGACAAAGCUCACCAAAAGAGCAAAGAAGACCAGAUCAGCCGGAGUGCCGGACUUGCCUGAGCCGGAGACGACGGCUCAAGAUCCGCCAGCCGCCUCCGAGGCCACCAUUCCCAUGGAUACGGCGCCUGAAGCCCCUGCCCCGACCACCAAGACAACGACCGAAGCGUCAGCUAAUCCGGAGGCCUCCGGCUCAACCCCACCGGCUAACGACCCGGACGUGGUAAUUACCCGGACGGAGUAUGUUGAGCCGGGGAGGCCGACCGCACUGGCCGAAUGCUCCGCGAAGGGGGAGCUGCUGCGACCCCACCGGGCGAAUCUGGAUCUCUCGGGCUACCCCGAUUUGAGCAUUGGAGAGCUCGUUUCUGGCUACAUCAGCCAGGUUCACAAGAGCCGGGACGCGGAGAUCGCCAUGGUCAAUCAGAUCCAACAAAAGUCUGAGGUAACCUUCUACUGUCUUCUUACUUUCCGCAUAGUGAUCCUUGUCAUGCUAGCCCCCAAGUCUAUAACUUAUACUUGGCAUAUGUUGUAGACUUAGAGUCCGGCUUACUUAAUUGAACCAGCAGUACGUAGAUAGACACGUUCAAUAUGCAUUAGCCCCCAAGUGCCAAGUGUCUUUGCUUGGAAAGUGCUUGGGACUUAUAUAAUGACUGUUUAAUAACCCGGAAAUAUAUACAGGCUACUGGCAAGAAAUUUGAGUCGGACCUUGCGGAUCUCAAGAGCCGGUUAAAAACUCAAGAGAUGGAGACCCGGAAGGCGAAUGCCAAGUUUGUCUCCAGCAUCGCCGCUCAGGAGAAAUUGAAGACUGAAUUCGACGCUGAGCGGAAGGCCUGGGCUGAGGAGAAAGCCGCACUGGUGACCCGGGCAGAACAGGCGGAGAAGGCCCUCACUGAGAAGACCGCUGAGCUCUCCGGUUUAAAGCACCAGGUUUCCCAAAUGGUGGCUGCUAUCUUCGGUAAGUCGCCUCACCGGCUUUCAUCAAGUCUGCACAUGUUACGAUUCACCCUUGUCACCGGCUUACCUGACCUUUAUUAAACAGGUCCCAGGAGUGCCAACCUCAACCAGAGCAUGGUCACCAAGCUAAAGGCCGUGUACACCCUGGUGGAACAACUCUACACCGGGUCACAGCGCGCCUUAGCUGUGGUGGCCCUAUCCAAUGAGGUGCCAACCCAUCUGGCUGAAGUCCUGCGCCGGCUCGCAGUUUUGCCACAGCGAAUCCAAGAGCUACGUCGAGCCUCCGCAAGAUCCGGAGCAAUUGCCGCGCUGAGCCGGGCCAAAGCCUUCCUGCCGGAGCUAGACCCGGCAGACAUCGCCCUGGGUUACCCCAGCCUGAAGGAAGACGGCUCCACCUUCGACCAGAAGGAUUUCGCGGCAUGCGUGAAGGCUGUACGCCCGGUGGCCACCAUCAUCGGGAACGACACCGACUUAACCAAGUAUCAGCCGGGGUACAACGCGGAGAAUCAGAGGAUUCCAACCCCUCGCUAUGAAGCUCUUAGUCUGAUUCCUCCGGCUCGCCAACACACCUACGCCCCCCGAGAUUGACCCGGCCGGGUUAAUUGACGAAGAAGCUCAGUUCGAAGCUCUCAGCAGCAUCAACUGGAAAUCGUCGACCUUCGAAGCCUUGGGAUCAGCCAGAGCAGAAGAUGAGCCGGGGACUUCGACUCAGCAGGCGUCAUAAACCGGCUAGCGGCUCACCAAACAACGCUCCACCCUUGAAACUUUGAAAGAUUUUUGUAAUAGAAUAAGUGCAACAAUUUAUCUCUGCCGUGCCAUCAUGCACGUAAUGAAUGCUAAAAUCCUUUGAAGUCAUUCUUUUGAUGCUCCUCCGGGUCAUAAUUAUCCUUCGUGCUUCUCAACCUUUAAAAAAGUACCUUCAAGCAUCUGCAUAGAAAGGUAAAUCACAAGUCUCAAGACGGCUUACCACCCUCCGGAUUAAAUGACCCGGGUAGCAUGGUUGGUAUCUUAACUCUAAUGGACUUGUCUUGAUGACAUCCAGGAUGUUUAAUUAACAAGAUAACUCCAAAAUUAAGCCGGUCAAGCGAAACCCGGCCAUGCACACGUUGUCAUAAUCAGAGUAGACUUUGCGAUAAAUCGGAACUUAGGGGCUUCCAGUUCGAAUACGACCAGAGACCCGGCCCGAAAGGGGUUUAAGCCAAGAUUCGUAUACGAUCAUAUAGCCCCCAAUGGGUGUGGCGAUGCCAAUCAAGAGGGUACCGACAGCUAUGUUCUCUUGGGUUCGAAUACGACCCAUGUUUGAACAGGAAGCCCCCAAGUGAUUCUGAAAAUUGUUUAACGACGCUGAUUCGAAUAUGAUCCACGUCGGUUCUCAGAGGGGUUACACUAUGAUUCAAAUAUGACCAAAGGCAACCUCCCAAUGAGCUCGGCACUUUGCCAAUCAAAUGGGUAUCGACAGCUAUGUUCUCUUUGGUUCGAAUACGACCCAUGUUUGAACAGGAAGCCCCCAAGUGAUCUUACUGCUUACGGCUAGACUCAAAUGCGAUCAUAAGCCGGAUCCUCUUUUCAAAGUAGUAUGACACGUAUAUUUGGAGGAGAAAAAAGGACAGAGGUCCUGCUUUAUUGCUUAUCAUAAUAUAUAUAUGUCUGAGAUAAAUAUGUACACCACAAGAGCCGGUAGCUCAAGUGUAAUAAGGCCGAAGCUGAGCGAUAUUCCACGACCGACGGGUCUCCUCCUCAGAUUUACGCGAAUCUUUACGCUCCCGAACAUCAAUGAGGUAAUAUGACCCGUUGUGCAAGUUCUUACUGACCACAAAGGGCCCUUCCCAAGGUGGGGAUAAUUUGUGUGCAUCUGUUUGAUCCUGGAUGAGCCGGAGCACAAGGUCGCCUUCCUGGCAGACCCGGGUUUUGACCCGGCGGCUAUGAUAACGGCGCAGGUCUUGUUGGUAAAUCGCUGAACGGGCUGCUGCCACAUCACGCUGUUCAUCCAACAAGUCCAGAGCAACUUGGCGCGCCUGUUCAUUGUCCGUCUCAACAUAAGCCGCCACACGAGGUGAAUCGUGACGGAUGUCGCUAGGGAGGACCGCUUCUGCCCCAUAAACCAUGAAGAAAGGCGUGAAGCCAGUAGACCUGUUAGGAGUAGUGUUGAUGCUCCAUAAGACGGAGGGCAACUCCUCCACCCAACAACCCGGCGUCCGUUGCAAAGGGACCAAAAGCCGGGGUUUGAUGCCCUUCAGAAUCUCCUGGUUAGCUCUCUCAGCUUGACCAUUGGACUGGGGAUGAGCCACUGAAGAAACAUCAAGCCGGAUAUGCUCUCGUUGACAAAACUCCUCCAUAGCGCCUUUGGACAGAUUAGUGCCAUUGUCUGUUAUGAUGCUAUGCGGAAAGCCGAGGCGGAAGAUCACCUUUUUUAUAAAUUGAACCGCCGUGGCUGCAUCACACUUGCUAACUGGCUCAGCUUCCACCCACUUCGUGAAUUUGUCCACUGCCACCAAGAGGUGGGUCUUCUUAUCCUUGGACCGUUUAAAAGGCCCGACCAUAUCAAGCCCCCAGACCGCAAAGGGCCAAGUGAUCGGGAUCAUCCUCAAUUCCUGAGCCGGCACAUGAGCCCGUCGGGAGAACCUCUGACAACCAUCACACUUACUGACCAAGUCCUCCGCAUCAGCGUGAGCCGUCAACCAAUAAAAACCAUGACGGAAUGCCUUGGCCACAAGGGAUUUUGAGCCGGCAUGAUGGCCGCAACCCCCUUCAUGGAUCUCGCGCAAGAUCUCUUGACCUUCCUCAGGGGAAAUACAACGCUGAAAUACCCCUGAAACACUGCGAUGAUGCAACUCGCCGUUGAUAACAAUCAUUGACUUGGCCCGCCGGAUUAUUUGCCUGGCCAAAGUUUCAUCCUCAUGCAACUCUCCCUGGGUUAUAUAAACCAAGUACUGCAUUGUCCAGUCUGGUAUGACAUGAAGAGCCGCCACCAGUCGUGCCUCCGGGUCAGGGAUAGCCAAGUCCUCCUCUGUAGGCAACUUAACCGAAGGGUUAUAUAGGACAUCCAGGAAAGUGUUAGGCGGCACCGGCUUUCGCUGAGAGCCGAGCCGGCUUAAAGCAUCAGCCGCCUCGUUCUUCCUGCGAUCAAUGUGCUCCACUUGAUAUCCCUGAAAGUGCCCAGCAAUGGCAUCAACCUCGCGGCGAUAAGCCGCCAUGAGGGGAUCCUUAGAAUCCCAAGUGCCUGAUACUUGUUGAACAACCAAAUCUGAGUCCCCAAAGCACCGUACCCGUCUUAAGCUCAUCUCCUUAGCCACCCGAAGACCGUGGAGUAAGGCCUCGUAUUCAGCCGCAUUGUUAGUGCAAGGAAACAUCAAUUGUAGCACAUACUGGAACUUGUCACCCCUAGGGGAAGCCAAUACAACACCAGCCCCCGAGCCCUCCAGCUGCCUGGACCCAUCAAAGUGAAUAGUCCAAUAGGUGUUAUCCGGCUUUUGCUCAGGCACUUGCGACUCUGUCCAAUCAUUAAUAAAAUCCACCAAAGCCUGGGAUUUAACAGCAGUGCGUGGCACAUAUUUGAGGCCAUGAGGCCCAAGUUCAAUAGCCCACUUGGCAAUUCUCCCUGUAGCCUCUCUGUUCUGGAUAAUAUCCCCAAGAGGGGCAGAACUGACCACAGUGAUGGGAUGACCCUGAAAAUAAUGCUUGAGUUUCCGGCUCGCCAUGAACACACCAUAUACAAGCUUCUGCCAGUGCGGGUAUCGCUGCUUGGACUCAAUAAGCACCUCACUGACAUAAUAAACCGGCCGCUGAACUGGAUGCUCCUUACCCGUCUCCUUACGCUCCACCACCAUAGCCACACUGACGGCUCGUGUGUUUGCCGCCACAUACAGUAGCAAGGGCUCCUUAUCAACCGGAGCAGCAAGGACGGGGGGCUCUGCCAGUUGCUUUUUCAAAUCCUCGAAGGCGGUAUUAGCUGCAUCAUUCCAGACAAAGUUAUCCGUUUUCUUCAGCAACUGAUAUAAGGGCAUAGCCUUCUCACCCAAGCGGCUUAUGAACCGGCUUAAAGCAGCGAUGCGACCUGCCAAACGCUGAACAUCAUUUAUACAUGCCGGCUUAGCUAGAGAAGUGAUAGCUUUGAUCUUCUCCGGGUUAGCUUCAAUUCCUCUGUCAGAAACCAAGAAGCCCAAUAGCUUGCCCGCAGGAACACCAAAAACACAUUUGGCCGGGUUAAGCAUCAUGUAGACCCGGAGAUUAUCGAAGGUUUCCCUUAAGUCAUCUAUCAGGGUUUCCUCCUUGAUGGACUUAACCACAAUAUCGUCCACGUAAGCGUGAACAUUGCGCCCGAUCUGUUUAUGGAGACAAUUCUGUACACAACGCUGGUAAGUCGCCUGCGCACACUUGAGCCCAAAGGGCAUAGAGACAUAGCAGAAGGCUCAAAGGGAGUGAUGAACGCCGUCUUCUCCUGGUCCUUAACUGCCAUCUUAAUCUGAUGAUACCCGGAAUAGGCAUCCAAGAAACUUAAGCGUGCACAACCUGCCGUAGCAUCAAUGAUCUGAUCAAUACGGGGGAGAGCAUAAGGAUCAGCCGGACACGCCUUGUUCAAGUCCGUGUAGUCCACACACAUCCGCCAGGUGCCGUUCUUCUUAAGUACAAGCACCGGGUUAGCCAACCACUCUAGGUGAAAAACCUCAACAAUGAACCCGGCCGCCAAAAGCCGGGCCACUUCUUCACCAAUAGCCUUCCGCCUCUCUUCGUUAAACCAUCGAAGGAACUGUCUGGCCGGCUUAAAUUUUGGAUCAACAUUGAGAGUGUGCUCAGCGAGUUCUCUAGGUACACCUGGCAUGUCAGAAGGUUUCCAUGCGAAGAUGUCCCUAUUCUCACGGAUGAACUCGAUGAGCGCGCCUUCCUAUUUCGGGUCCAGAUUUGCACUGAUGCUGAACUGCUGAGACGAGUCACCUGGAACAAAAUCAACAAGUUUAGUCUCAUCAGCUGAUUUAAACUUCAUUGCUGGUUCAUUCUCCGUGGUUGGCUUUUUCAGAGAGGUCAUAUCUGUUGGGUCAACAUUGUCUUUAUAAAAUUUCAAAUCUUCUGUGGCACAAACAGACUCUGCAUAAGCCGCGUCACCUUCCUCACACUCCAGAGCCACUUUCCGGCUGCCGCGAACCGUAAUGGUCCCAUUGUGACCCGGCAUCUUGAGUUGUAAGUACACAUAACACGGCCGUGCCAUGAACUUGGCGUAAGCCGGCCGUCCAAAUAUGGCGUGGUAAGGACUUCUUAUCUUGACCACCUCAAAGGUCAACUUCUCCACCCUGUAGUUGUUCUCAUCACCGAAGGCCACUUCCAGUUCGAUCUUGCCGACUGGAUAAGCCGAUUUACCGGGUACCACACCAUGGAAGAUAGUAUUUGACUGGCUGAGGUUCUUAUCAACUAGCCCCAUACGACGGAAAGUCUCAUAAUAGAGGAUGUUGAUGCUGCUGCCUCCAUCCAUGAGUACCUUUGUGAACUUAUAGCCUCCCACUUGAGGAGCCACCACUAAGGCCAGGUGGCCCGGGUUAUCCACCCGGGGAGGGUGAUCCUCCCUACUCCACACUAUGGGCUGCUCCGACCACCGUAAGUAGCGUGGAACCACCAGCUCAACAGCAUUAACAGCCCUCUUGUGAAGCUUCUCGUCUCGUUUGCACAAACUAGUGGUGAACACGUGAUACUGUCCACCGCUAAGCUGCUUUGGGUUGGUCUGAUAGCCCCCCUGUUGCUGUUGAUGACCCUGACCAGACUGUUGAUUAAAGCCCCCUUGACCGUUCUGAGGACCGGAAUUUGACCCGCCGCCCGGGCCAUGAAAGCCGCCGGCGCCUGAGCCGCCACCCGGACCAUUGUAGUUUUUAAAGGCCUUCAUGAUAGCACAAUCCUUCCACAGAUGAGUCGCCGGCUUGUCUCUAGAACCGUGUCUCGGACAAGGUUCAUUCAACAGCUGUUCCAGAGAAGGUCCUGACCCGCCGCCUCGGGGAGGGGUCCUCCCCUUGCGUCGCUGGUUAUUACCUUGAGAGUUGGUGUUGGCUACAAACUCUAGGCUGCCAUCGGCCUUGCGCUUGCCUCCUCCUUGGUUCCCCAGGCUAAACUGAGGACCCUUGCCGUUGCCGUUCUUCUUUCCCUUCCCUGCCCUUUCAUCAUCUGAAGGGGGAUCCUUGGUACCAUCGGAAUCGGCGUACUUGACAAGAGCUGCCAUCAGUGUACCCAUAUCAGUACAGUCACGCUUAAGCCGCCCGAGUUUCAUCUUUAGGGGCACAAAGCGACAGUUUUGUUCCAACAUUAAGACUGCAGAGCCGGCAUCCAUCUUAUCCGAUGAAUGUAUGAUCUCCUUGACCCGGCGAACCCAAUGGGUCGUGGAUUCACCCUCCUGCUGCUUACAGUUAGUCAGAUCCACGAUUGACAUAGAUUGCCUGCAGGUAUCUUUGAAGUUUUGAAUGAACCGGGCUUUCAUCUCAGCCCAAGACCCGAUGGAGUUCGGCGGUAACCCUUUCAACCACGUGCGGGCAGUUCCAUCUAACAUCAUGGUGAAAUAUUUGGCCAUGGCCGCCUCGCUGACUUCCAGCAAUUCCAUAGCCAUCUCAUAACUCUCGAUCCAGGCUGUCGGCUGUAAGUCUGCUGUAUAGUUAGGCACCUUCCUAGGUCCUUUGAAGUCCUUGGGUAGACGUUCAUUACGGAUAGCUGGCAUCAAACACGGGACACCCCCGGUUCUAGUAGGGAUACUCGCAUCAACGGACAUCGUCGGAUAAGCCGGGGGGGGGUCUGGUAAGCCGUCACUUGAGGCGCCUGCUCCGCCUCCUGGCGUGCUUGGUCUGCUACGUAGAAGGCUCCAUUAUGAGCCGGGCCAUGACCAGGGGGCGGGUCAUGGCGUCGGACAUUACUUGAGCCGGUCGCCGAGACCAUGUGCCGGCUGUAACUCGGGCUCUGCCCUGGACGAGGGGUUGAAUGGAUCCUAUCCCGGCUGUAGGAGUACGCCUCUUGCUGCGCCAGCGCUGUCUGGAGGAGUUCUCUGACCCGGCGGGUCUCAAUAGCCGUCGGAGAGUCGCCAUCAACGGGCAGAGCCGCCAGCCGUGCCGCUGCGGCGACCAUGUUCUCCAGCGGGUUAUUAUAAUGGCCCGGGGGUAUUGGCACAUACUGAGGCGGGGCGGGGGGCCCCUGGGGAGGCCCCAUCACUCGUGGUUGAAUAAGGGGUCCAGAUCCGGGUGCUACGACCCCCGGCGGGUGACUAGACCCUGCACCCGGUGUGUUGAAGAGGUUGCGCGGAUCGUAAACCGGCGGGAGUCGAGAUUGAGCCUUUUGAUGCCUCCUUCUCAUGACCUCAUUGGCCGCGUUCUGAUCCAUCGUGAGUUGGAAGGACUGCGCCUGAAUCAGCUGAGUCCGGGCAUCGAGAGCCGCCCGCUCCGCAGCCAGUCUGAUCCCUUCCGCUGCAAGGUCCUCUUUAGCUUUUAUCAGAUCCAAUUUUAGCUGUGCCACCGCCGCAUCAUGCUGAACUUGAUCCGCCGGGUCGACCGUUGCGGUUAACAUGGCCGUCAUCUUAUCCGUGAGAUCCAUCAACACCUGAGCCGGGGAAGGCACCGGGUUUUCCGAUCCGGAAGCGGGGUUCUGAACAGGCUGCGUACCAGCCAUAAAAACUCCAACCUGACUUGGCGGCUCAAAAAGGUCCGGAAUACUGCUGUCAUCGGAAUAACUCAUGAGCCUGCCAUCUUGAAGUUGGUACAACGAGUUUGACUCAUCAGCGGCCGACUCGCCGUCAGAGCCGGCGGCCGCCUCAUCCCCAGACCCAGAUGGAUCAGAGGGCCCUCCGUGGAUGCAUCCCACAAAAGCGCGCUUUAAGGCAGGCCGGGCCCGGGCGGGUCGUGCGCGCUGAGCCGUUUCGAUGAGACCGGCGCGGAGAUCCGGCUCGGGGCCCGGCUCUCCAAUUUUACCGAUGAAGACAUGAAUUCCACCGAAGGGGACCCGGUACCCGUACUCCACCGAGCCGGCGUCGGGGCCCCAGUCCGCGUCGUCGAUGUAGAGCUUGCCGCGACGACUCUUGGUCAUCCGGCCCACAGCGUAUCCCUUGAGCCCUUCGAAGCUGCCCUUCAAGAACUCAAAUCCACCGUGCGCCAGCCCCACGGUGGGCGCCAACUGUCGUGGAAUUGUCACGGCAGAUGUCCUCGGGUUAGGACUUAGUCGUGGAGCCAUCGCAAUUGGGAAGCUUGAAGGGGUUAAGUGGGACAAGGAACACAAGGGUUUAUACUGGUUCGGCCCCUUACGGUGAAGGUAAAAGCCCUACGUCCAGUUGAGGUGGUAUUAAUCAGGGUUUCGAUAACCAGGGAGCUAAACAGCUAUGCCCGGCUCUCGAUCAGAUUGUUGUCGCCCCUAAACCGCUGCCGGGUCGUCCCUUUAUAUAGGGAGGUUGACACCCAGCGGCCCUUAGAGUCCCGGCCGGCUCAUAAGAGUGUCCGGCUCGGACUCUAAACAAUACUUGCCUUACACUACAAGUCUACUAUAACAAUAAAGAUUGUACUACGGGCUUUAAGCCAUCGCCGGGUCUCAGCCCAUCUCUGGCCCAUUAUCUUGAAACUUAGCUCCGGGCUUCUGGCAAUGACCCUUAGUGUAACCCGGCCCUCCUGGCGGGUGACUCCCAGGUCUAUAUCCUCAACAAUCAUGUUUUCCUACUGUUAUUUAUAAUGUUUUUAUGCAUAAUAACAAUUUAUGGAGUAAUUCUAAUGCCUUUUAUCUCAUGAUAUGCAAGGUUUACACAAAGAGGGAGAAUGCCGGCAGCUGGAAUUCUAGACCUGAAAAAGCUAUGUCAGAGAUACCUAUUCUGCACAUCUCCAAAUGAGCUAAAAUUUUACGGAGAAUUAUUUUGAAAUAUAUAAUAAAUAUCGAAGAAAAGAAAUACCAGAGCGGGGCUGCCAGGUUCCCACAAGACACCAGGGGGCGCCACGCCCCCAAGGCGCGCCCUGGUGGGUGGUAGGCAGCCCAGCCCACCUCCGGUGCCCAUCUUCUGGUUACGUAAGGUCUUUUGACCUAUAAAAAAAUAACAGGAGGACUUUCGGGGCGGAGCGCCGCUGUCUCGAGGUAGAACUUGGGCAGGAGCACUUUUGCCCUCCAGCGGAGCGAUUCCGCCGUGGGAACUUCCUCCCGGAGGGGGAAAUCGAAGCUAUCGUCAUCACCAACAACCCUCUCAUCUUUGGAAGGCCAAUAUUCAUUGCCAUCUUCAACAGCACCAUCUCAUCUCAAACCCUAGUUCUUCUCUUGUGUUCAACCUUUGUACCGGAACCUCAGAUUGGUACCUAUGGGUGACUAGUAGUGUAACGCCCCGGAUCCGAUGCGCCAGGUGUCUUCCAGUUAUUCGUCGUUGUUGCCAUGUCAUUUGCUUGCGUGUUGCAUUUUGCCCUGUCAUCAUCUGCAUUUCAUCUGCAUGUUUCUCGAAACUUGCAUCCGGUCCUUUUCCGCGUUGUCCAUUUCGCGAUCCGACACUCCCACACGUGCCCGUCGCCCCUCUCAGACCUUGUUUCAUGAGCGGGAGAAAAACGUUCUCGGAAUGGGCCGAGAUUUGCCGAGUGGCCUUGGUAUAUCACCGGUAGACCGUCCGUCAAAUUUCGUUCCAUUUGGAGGUCGUUUGAUGCCCCAACGGUUAACCGCGUACCCCGCAAAGCCCCUUUUGUCUUGCAGCCCAACACCCCUCCAAAUCAGCCCACUAACCCAGCAAACCCCCUCCAUGCUCUCCGCCGUUCGAUCACGAUCGUGUGGGCGAAAAUCGCACCCCAUUCGGACUCUCCUAGCUCCCUCUACCUAUAUAAACACUCCCUUCCCCGAAAUUUCGGAUCAAAUCCUACCCUAACCCUAGCUUUACGCGUCGCCCCGUCCAAUCGGGUGGCGACACGUCAGCCCGCCGCCGCCCGAAGGCAGUGGCAUCGCGCCCUCCCGCCGCCGCCGGCCUGCGGGGNNNNNNNNNNNNNNNNNNNNNNNNNNNNNNNNNNNNNNNNNNNNNNNNNNNNNNNNNNNNNNNNNNNNNNNNNNNNNNNNNNNNNNNNNNNNNNNNNNNNNNNNNNNNNNNNNNNNNNNNNNNNNNNNNNNNNNNNNNNNNNNNNNNNNNNNNNNNNNNNNNNNNNNNNNNNNNNNNNNNNNNNNNNNNNNNNNNNNNNNNNNNNNNNNNNNNNNNNNNNNNNNNNNNNNNNNNNNNNNNNNNNNNNNNNNNNNNNNNNNNNNNNNNNNNNNNNNNNNNNNNNNNNNNNNNNNNNNNNNNNNNNNNNNNNNNNNNNNNNNNNNNNNNNNNNNNNNNNNNNNNNNNNNNNNNNNNNNNNNNNNNNNNNNNNNNNNNNNNNNNNNGCCGCCCCGCCGCCCGUCGCCGGCGUCGCCCCGCAUCUCCGCCCGGCGCCCCGCCCGCCUCCCGUCCCGCCGCCUGUAGCCCGCCGUCGCCCGGGUGUUGCCGCCCCUUCGCCUCGCUCGCCGCCGGCGAGAUCACGGCCGGGGAAGGACCCCGCCGGCCGGAUCCGCCAUCCCCUGCGUCGAACCGGGCCUCCGCCGCCCCGGAGCUCGCCUGAUUCCGCCGACCUCGCCGGGGCCCGCGCCUGCUCCGACCCGAUCCGCGGGCCCGCACCCGGAUCCAUCUCGCCCGACCCGAUCCACGUUGACCCACGAGGUUGAUUUUUUUCUGUCCUAAAAUUCUAUCAUUAUGUGCCUAUGUUCAUCAUCUCAUAUCUCCAUGCAUAUAGAUCCAUUAGGUGCAUAUGAUAUAUCAAAAUGUUAAUCAUGAGAUGCUCUUCAUUUUGUUACAUUGUGCCAUAUUUGUUUGAGUUCAUCUUGAUUCCCUAAUAAUCGUUGCAAGAGUGAUAUGUGAUGUUGUCUGCUGUAGUUUAACAGAACUUGGUGAUUUGCCUUUUUCAUUGCAUUUUGUGUGUGCAUCCUAUGAGCAUGAGCUCUACACGUGUUUUAAACUUAAUCAUGUCAUCUUUACAGGGGUGCUUGUCUUGUAUUUUUGUGAUCUAUGUGGCGACUAGCACAAGCAUGCAAAGUAGCCUCCAUGAUGUUGCUGAUUUCUGUGACUUGGUCAUUUCUGCUAAGUCUGUAGCUGUAACAUUGUGAUGCCAUGUAAACCUGCUGUCACCAUGAGUUCUAUGCAUAAGCUAGAGUUGUUCACUAAGGCUGUUAUGUUAUAAAUGUUAUGCUCUAUCCCUCUAUGUCCUUGUUUGUAUUUAUAGCCUGUUGUAGCUUGUUGCAAACUUGAUCUCAACUUGCUAAAUAAUGUUGCUGUCAGCUUGUUAACAUGAAGUUCAGUUUUGACAUGUGUUUUGCUAGUGAUCCAUGCACCCUAUGAACUUGCUAUUGGCAUGCUUAGCUUCAUAAUUAUGCCAUAUUACUGUUGGAUACCUUCACACGCCAUGAAAUGCUUUGUGAUGAGUGAUUUGAGCUCGCAAAUAUGCCUUCAUAAUUCUGUUUAUGCCAUGCUCAGUUUUUCUGCUAAGUCUGAAUCUGUUUAUGAAACUUGCUAUGUUUACAUGGGUGCCAUCAUAUCUUCUGUACCUUUUUGGCUCGUGAUCAGUAAGGGAGUUUUGUUCUAUGCAAUUAUUAGAUUCAUGUCAUGCCUUUGUUUGCUAUGAUAUAUUCCUGUAGUAUAUUGUUUGAUAGCUCUAAACUUUGCAACCUGAUGUUAUUUCUGCCAUGUCCAGUGAUUUCCGCCAAGUCUGUGAAACUGUUAUUAUUUGCAAUCUUGUCAUGUCCUUUUGAGCAUAUUAUAGUGUUUUCUGGGAAUAGCUUAGUGUUCAUGUUUUGCAAUGCUUUACCUGCACAUCACGUCCAUGUCUUUUGUUUUCAUGUUGAGGUGCUGUAGCAUGUUGUUUUGAUGCGUGCAAAAUGCCUAGUUGCUAUUUUGGACAGAUUGUUGCUAUAUCUUGUUUGGAGUGUAUGUGUUGCACCAUUGCUCCGUUUUGAGCAUGCUCUAUAUGAAACUUGCUUAGUUUUGCAUGUUGUUUCAAAUUACCUUAUUGCAUCCUUGUUUUGAGUGUGUUUACUUGAUGUUUGAAUGCAUUUUGCAUCAAUGCCAUGUUUAACUUGUUUUACUCAUAUCUUCUAGGCCGUAGCUCCGAAUCUAAUGAACUUUAUAUGUAACUUGACUAGAAUUUCGUGUAGAUCAUCUUGGUGAGUCUUAACUUGCUGUUUAACAACUUGAACAUAAGGUUUAUUCAGAUCUGGACCAAUUUCGAAAUUUGCAUAUAAGGACUUACCGGAAUUGUCAUAUGUUAUUUCCGGCCUCAUUCAAACUUGCUUUGAUGUGUUGCUCUUGUAUGCAUCAUCUCUUGCCAUGAGUAGCUUCAUGUAGCCUUAUGCAUCAUACUUGGUUGAGCAUCAUGUCUUGUUUAUGUGUUGAGUGUUUACCGUGUUGUUUGCUUCUUUCCGGUUGUACUCCUUCUCGUUAGUUCCUGUUUCGUUGCGAUCGUGAGGAUUCGUUCGUCUUCGUGGCUUCAUCUUCUUCAUGGACUCAUUCUUCUUCAUAGCGGGAUUUCAGGCAAGAUGACCGUUACCCUGGAUCUCACUACUAUCAUUGCUAUGCUAGUUGCUUCGUUCUAUCGCUAUGCUGUGCUACCUAUCACUUGCUCUUCAAGCCUCCCAAAUUGCCAUGAACCUCUAACCUUGUCAUCCUUCCUAGCAAACCGUUGUUUGGCUAUGUUACCGCUUUUGCUCAGCCCCUCUUAUAGUGUUGCUAGUUGCAGGUAAAGAUGAAGAUGGCUUCAUGUUGGAUUAUGUUUUAUGUUGGGAUAUCACAAUAUCUCUUAUUUAAUUAAUGCAUCUAUAUACUUGGUAAAGGGUGGAAGGCUCGGCCUUAUGCCUGGUGUUUUGUUCCACUCUUACCGCCCUAGUUUCCGUCAUAUCGGUAUUAUGUUCCCGGAUUUUUGCGUCCCUAACGCGGUUGGGUGUUAUGGGAACCCCUUGACAGUUCGCCUUGACUAAAACUCCUCCAGCAAGGCCCAACAUUGGUUUUACCAUUUGCCUAACAACCUAUUACCUUUCCCUUAGGAGUAAUUAACCCGAGGGUCAUCUUUAUUUUAGCUCCCCCCGGGCCAAUGCUUCUCUAAGUGUUGGUCCGAACUAGAGCACCAUGCGGGACCGUCCCUUGGCAACUUGGGUUACCUUGGUACCUGUACGCUUAGCUCAUCCGGUUGUGGCCUGAGACGAAAUACGCGCGGCUACUAUCAGGGUGUCGGCACACUGGGAGGUCUUGCUGGUCUUGUUUUACCAUUGUCAAAAUGUCUUGUAAACCGGGAUUCCGAGACUGAUCGGGUCUUCCCGGGAGAAGGAAUACCCUUCGUUGACCGUGAGAGCUUAUAAUGGGCUAAGUUGGGACACCCCUGCAGGGUUUUGAACUUUCGAAAGCCGUGCCCGCGGUUAUGUGGCAGAUGGGAAUUUGUUAAUGUCCGGUUGUAGAGAACUUGACACACGACUUAAUUAAAACGCAUCAACCGCGUGUGUAGCCGUGAUGGUCUCUUUUCGGCGGAGUCCGGGAAGAGAACACGGUUUCUGGGUUAUGUUUGACGUAAGUAGGAGUUCAGGAUCACUUCUUGAUCAUUGCUAGCUUCACGACCGUUCCGCUGCUCCUCUUCUCGCUCUUAUUGGCGUAUGUUAGCCACCAUACUUGCUUAGUCGCUGCUGCAACCUCACCACUUUACCCCCCUUCCUUACCCAUUAAGCUUUGCUAGUCUUGAUACCCAUGGUAAUGGGAUUGCUGAGUCCUCGUGGCUCACAGAUUACUACAACAACAGUUGCAGGUACAGGUUAUGCGAUGAUCAUGACGCGAGAGCGAUGUUACUUGUAUUGGAGUUCUUCUUCGAUCAGGGGAUAGGUUCCAGGUCGGCAGCCUGGGCUUGCAGGGUGGAUGUCGUUUGAGCUUCUGCUUGUGUUUCAUCCGUAGUCGGAUGUUGAUCGUAUGUAUGAUGUAUUGAUGUAUUCUUGCGGCAUCUGUAUGCCUUUUAUAUGUAUCCCCAUCUAUUAUGUAAUGUUGAUGUAAUGAUAUCCACCUUGCAAAAGCGUUUCAAUAUGCGGGUCUAUCCUUGGUGGGACCUUCGAGUUCCUCUCGGAUAGGGUCGCAUAUUGGGCGUGACAAGUAGUGUUGAUUACAUCUUGUAGUUGAUGCUAUAUGGUUUAUUUAAUGGAAGAUUAUAUGUUCAGAUUCAUUAUGCUAUUUAAUAUCCCUCUGAUCUUGAGCAUGAAUAUUAUUCGUGAGUAGUUACCUUUGUUCUUGAGGCCACGGGAGAAGUCAUGUUGCAAGUAAUCAUGUGAAUUUGUUAUGUGUUCGAUAUUUUGAUGAUAUGUAUGUUGUGAUUCCCUUAGUGGUGUUAUAUGAACGUCGACUACAUGACACUUCACCACCUUUGGGCCUAAAGAAUGCAUUGUGGAGUAGUAAUUAGAUGAUGGGUUGCUAGAGUGACAGAAGCUUAAACCCUAGUUUAUGCGCUAUUUCGUAAGGGACUUAUUUGGAUCCAUAUGUUUAAUGCUAUGGUUAGGUUUUAUCUUAAUACUUCUUUCGUAGUUGCGGAUUCUUGCGAGGGGGUUAAUCAUAAGUGGGAGGCUUGUUCAAGUAAGAACAACACCCAAGCACCGGUCCACCCACAUAUCGAAUUAUCAAAGUAGCGAACGUGAAUCAAACCAACAUGAUGAAAGUGACUAGAUGAAAUUCUCGUGUGCCCUCAAGAGCGCUUUGCUUAUUAUAGGAGACCGUUCCAGCCUGUCCUUUGCUACAAAAAGGAUUGGACUACCUUGCUGCACUUUAUUUACCGUUACCGUUACUUGUCCAGUACAAAUUAUCUUAUCAUCAAACUACUUGCUACCGACAAUUUCAGUGUUUGCAGAAAUUAACUUGCUGAAAACCGCUUGUCAUUUCCUUCUGCUCCUCGUUGGGUUCGACACUAUUACUUAUCGAAAGGACUACGAUUGAUCCCCUAUACUUGUGGGUCAUCAGCUCACACCACCCUGACCAGUCCGCACCGUCGCACGCAGGACCUAGGUGAACCAAGUCGGUUCUGGCCAUCCACUGCCUCCAUGCGCAGAUCUGGGCGAGAGAUCGCACCGCGGCGCAACAGGAAAACAGAGGUGGAACCAAAAUAGACCGGCGCGCGCCGGAACUGGGCGAAAACCAAGCCAAAAACUGACUUGCCCGCAUUGCCGCACGCAAGGAACCGGCGUUCGUGUUGGACCUGGUUUGCCUGAGUCUCGUCAUGCACCAACAGGCUUGACGGCGCCCCUGCUCCAGGAGCCGGACGUGAAUACGCUCGAAGGGAGGAACCCACCAACCUCAGUCGGCACCACCGCCACCGCCUUCACCAUCCAAACGCCGUUUGACGACGAGAAACUGGCCGCAGGCCCGCCGAAACCCAGAUCGGGCCCGGCCACUGCGAGUCCCUCACAGCCCCGACGCCAAACCUCCGUGCGCCGCACAAACCACCGCGACCUCCUGCCCCUGAUACUAGAUAUCUACAAUAUGAGAGAUAUUUUUUAGAGAGUUGUAUAAUUUUCACAAGACAAUUGCGGUAUCUAAGAUGGACUUUUCUUUUGGUUGUAAAACGGCGGUUAUGAGGGAUGUGGUAGAGUAUAGACGGCCGUUUAUAAACCCCAAAACCUCCCAAAAACCACCAUCCAAAAAUAAAUCUCAAAAAAAGGAAAAAAGAAAAACCCUAACCGGCCUUUCCCUGUUGCCAGUCCCCUCCUGUCGUCGGUCGUCCCAAUGCUGUCCGCCGGCCGCCGCCGUCUCUGCCUCUUCCCCUUCCCUCUCCGCCACUUCACUGCGGCCGUUUCCACCACCACCACCACCACCACCUCCGACGCUGCCGCUGCCGACCCCACUGUCUUCUACCUGGAAUCCACCUGCGCGCUCUCCCCCGCCGCCGCCGCCCGCGCUGCGGACUCCAUCCGCCUCGCCUCCCCGGAGUCCACUGCGCAGGCCGACGCCGUCCUCGACCUCCUCCGCCGGUAUGGCUUCACCGACGCCGAGAUAUCCACCACCGUCCGCAAGUUCCCCAUCGUCCUGGUCUCCGACCCCGUCAAGACACUCCAGCCCAAGCUCGACUUCCUCGCCUCCGUCGGCAUCAACGCGCCGCUCCUCCCCAGGCUCGUCUCCCUCAGCCCCGUUGUCCUCCACCGCAGCAUCCAGGACCAACUCGCCCCGCUCUUCGAAUCUCUCCGCGAGCUCCUCGGCUCCAAUGCCCGCGUCGUCACCGCGCUCCGCCAGAUGCCGUUCGUUGUCCGCUGCAGCCCCAACAGUACCCUCAACCUCGUGCUCCCCGCACUAAGAGAUGUCCACGGCUUGCCCCCGGAGGACGUCUCCAAGCUCGUCGCCGUCCACCCCGGCGUCAUCAUGCAGGGCCCCCACCGCUUGGCCGAGAUCGUCCAGGCCGUCAAGGACGUUGGCAUGGAACCCGGUGAGCCCAUGUUCGUCAACACAUUUUCCAUCAUUUCCAAGAUGAAGACCCCCACACUGGAGAGGAAGUAUGCACUCUACCAGAGCCUUGGCUUCGAGAAGGACAAUGUUGCCUUAAUGUUGCGGCGGUACCCACUCAUGAUGGCUAUCUCAGAGAAGAAGAUGAAGGAAAAUGUCGGAUUCUUGGUCGGAAAGGCGGGUCUGAGCCUGGAAGAUAUCGUGGCCUAUCCGAGCAUGCUGGUGCGGAGCUUGGAGAGCCAUCGCAGGAGGUGUGCGGUGCUCGCACUGCUGAGGAAGGAAGGUAAGCCAGAGGGGAAUCAUCAGCUGCGCAAGGUCCUCGUGGCUAAAAUGAAACGGUUCUCGCAGGUGUAUGUGCAGCCACACCAAAACGAGAUCCCUGAUGUCGUCCGGGCUCUCAACGGAGAGAUCCCUUUCGAGGGCUUCAAUGUGUUGGAGUAGCCACAGCCGCCCAGGAAGAUGAGCCUUUGUUGUCAUCGGCCUAUGCAGUUCUUGGUGGGAUCUGCUUAGGCAGUUUUCUGAAGAUUCUGUUGCUUGGCCAAUGUUUGUUCUUGGUAGGAUUUGCUUAGGCAGCUUUCUCAAGAUUGGUGUUGCUCUUGCAACAAGACUGCCAAGGGUAUGGUUAUGCAAGAACAGAUUUUGAGCUACUGGGUGGUCAUCAAAGCUUGUAGUGUAAUAAAACAUUAACUGGAAGCUAACUUGUUGAGCAAUGAUCAUUGGUAAUUCUAGUUUCAGGCCUCAGAAUGUGUAACAUGAAUUGAAAAUGGAUGUUUCUCAUUAAUGAACAGUCAUUUGGAUGCAGUGAGGCCAUAACGUUUUAGGGGCUGUUUGGAUCGCUACCUUGAGCUGCCCAGCCAAAUAUUUGGCGUUGACCGCAGCGUUGGUAUCCGUUUGGCUGGGCUCCAAAAUUUUGGCUUGCGAAGGCCCAUUGGCUCUUUCCAGUGCAUUCGAUAGCCAAUUCCUGGGCGAGACACCGGCGGCCGAAUCGGUCGCCAAUAUUUUGGCUGCCGAUGGGUUGGCAGGGCUGCUGUGGGCAGUAACCAAACAGCCCCUUACUCUUUUCUUUUUUGACAUAUUUGCACAAUACUCAUGGAAAUCUUGUUCUUGCUUGGCUGAGUUUGAUCUCGAGUGGUCGAUGUGGAACAGGAGGAUGAAAUCAAAGGCAGUCCACAUUUUCAGCCUGCCAAAGACAACCCAUUUGUAAGAACAUGGUAAAUUUUGUGUAAUUCUGUCAAUAUUUUGUAUAUGGUACACCCUCUGUUCAUAAAUAUAAGACGUUUUGGCAGUCUAAAUUGAACUGCCAAAACGUCUUAUCUUUAUAAACAGAGGUAGUACGUCUGAAGACAGCACCCUGUAAGAAUACCAAAGUUGGUAUCCAGCAAAUAGUGUAGUACAUGUCUGUCUGCUUCUGCAUUACUGCAUGCAGUCGAGCAAUUUUGUUUCUUGACCGGGAACAGAGUACGAAAAGAUCCUAGUGUGUGUAUAGUUGAGCAAAUACAGGAAAAGAAGGUAAACUAGUUAAGAUUGACCUGGUUCAGCCAAGAGGAAGAACCAAGAGCUUAGAAUGGUUGGCAGUAGACGCCUGCACUAAACUGGAAUUUGCCUUGUCAAUGCCCAGUUGUGCCAUCUCUCCUGAAUGAGCUCCCAGAACUUGCCUUGAAUCAAAUUUAACCGGAUACCUGUGAUGUUAGAUAGCAGUCGAAUAGGCAAACUAGAUACCAGAAUUGGCAGUCGGUUCAGGCCCCAUGCUCAAAUUCAUGCUGGUGCGGUGGAGAAACGGGGCUUCCUCCUCUGGUGAAAUGGGAAACCUCCACCACCUGGGUGACUGUGGUGGUCGGUGGAGCUUGUUCAGGAGGAACGGUGGCAUGAGAUGGAAGGCCGCGGCCCUGUGCUUGUGGAAUGUGGACGCAGGCGCGUAUUGGCACCAGGAUCAGGACUUGGAUUAUUGCUGAUAUGGAAGGAAGGAAAAAACUGAGGUCAAAUGCAUCAGAGCACACGAUGUACGUCUCUUGUUAUUCCAUAAUAGUAAUCUAUAACACCUCUAUUUUUUUGCAGGGGAAUCUGUAACACCUUUUUGACACUACCGUCGACGCUCGAGAUGCUGAGGCAAGUUUUUGUGAAGCAGCUAGCGAGCCCAAGGGAACAGAACAAACGGAUAUAAUAAGAGGUAAACGGCUGAUAUGAUCUCCAGAAAACCAACUUGUUUACUGGGUCGUCCACUGAACCGAGGUGCGAGGAGUCAUUCUUUGCACCUCCAGCUAAUGACAAGUGGAUCAUCAUAUGCAGGGUGCACAACUGCACACAAGAGGCCUUACACGUCAGGAAGUUCGGAGCAUACAUCUAGAGAUUUUAACAUGUCAAAUUCGUCCAAGUGGUUGCUCUGCGUUUCAUUUGAAAUGAGAAUGGAACGGGUCCUGGUCCUGGAGGCUUUUGAUCUGAGAAAUGGAAUUCUUCCAACUGGGCGCUCUGGCUUUAGGAGCAUGCUGGUGGUGGUGAGACAAAACACCCUCUGAACUUCUCAUGACCCACUUAUAUACGUGAGGAUGCAGUUGCCUUGUUUACAAAUCUGUUUUGUCUCUGUUUUCUUUUCGGAUGAUGAGGAUGAGCCAGCCGAUCCUAACAUAAUUUUGGAGGAGCCGGACGACGAAGCCUCAAAAUCAGAUAAAGAUGUCUCCAACGCGACCGGACUUCCACUAGAUUUUUAUAGGGGUCAGAAUGUAGCGACCAGACCUCAAAUGGUCUGUGCUGCUGUGCACCAGUGUCAUCCCUGAAUCAGUAAUGCUGACACGCACAGUACAAAUGGAGGAUUUAUAACAGAGUAGCAAUCACACACUUAUUACAUCGAAUAUCUCCAAAGAAAUUAAGUAUGAUAAACAUGGCUUAAGGCCAUCUAAAAACGAUAACAGCGGAAGACUUGGAAGAUAAGUGAGUCCAUCAACUCCAGCGGCAUCACUGAGUAUAAGACCACGACCUAAGGCACCUUACUCGUCGUCUGAAAAGUCUGCAACAUGAAACGUUGCAGCCCGAAAACGGGUCAGCACAUAGAAUAUGCUGGCAAAAUAACACAUAGAGAAUAAUGAACAUAAUAAUGCUAUACUACAUGCAUAUAUGGCUGGUGGAAAGCUCUAUGGUUACAAUUUUGCGAAAAGCCAAUUUUUCCCUACUUCAAAGGAAUAAACUUUAUUUAACUAUCAUGGUGGUUGUGAAACAUUGAGAUGGUUGACAGCAUCUCAAUCCCAAUUAAGAAUCAUUAUUAACCCAACAAAAUUAAUUAAAAGUAACAUGGUGAUGAGAUUCACAUGAUAAUCCAAGUACUAGAUACUCAAGUUGUCCAUAACCGGGGACACGGCUAACCAUGAUUAGUUUGUACACUCUGCAGAGGUUUGCGCACUUUUCCCCACAAGACUCGAUCUCCUCCGUUGGAUUACUCGCACUACAUGGUGUUUGAGUAACGGAUGACCGAGACACAGUCUUUCAGAAGUGUUUGCACCUUACGUAUGGGUAGACAGUUACACCUACUUUCCCCUACAUCUGCUAGUCUACCACUGUAAGAGUUCACACAACUUAGUCAACUAUGCUAGAGCCCGUAAUAGCUUGCGGCUGCACACGGAAGUUUCUAGCAUAAAUAAUCUCAUGAUCCCUUUGAACCUGGGUGGCGGUCCAAAAGAAAAACAGGCAAUCCUGGAAUACCCAGGUACCUCAAUCCACCCAGAUGUGAGUUUUAGUUGCCACCUUAAGUAAACCAUUAAUUAACAAUCUCACAUCUGUCAUGGAAAUCCCUCAAACCCAAUCCACGUCUACGAGCAUAGCAUGUCAAUAUAAUAGCAACGUAGAAAUAACUCCCAAGGGUUUGAUAAACAAAACAGGUAAUAGGUACUACCUCAACUACUUCCCAAUACCCAUAAUUUAAUUAGAUCCUAAUCAUGCAAGUGUUUGAGGAAAAUAGAUCUAAUGCAAUAAAAACUGGGUAUGGAAGGUAUAUGAUCAAAGUGUUACUUGCCUUGCCGAUGAUCCGCGAAACCUAGCGAUUCAAAGUAACAAGCGGCACACUCCGGGUACUCUAUCGCAAACAAACAAGCAGACAAUCAGUACUCAUCUAAUGCACAGGUAAAACUCGAAUGAAAGAUCCAACCAGAAAGUUCAACUUAAGAACUCCGGUUUGCAAAAAGAAACAACUCGAACGAAGCAACGAAAGUCAAACGGUGAAAGAAACAAGCUUCGUUUACUAAUCUGGAUCUAGGUCAAAUUUUACAGUAGCAAAAACUUGUUUGAGUAGGUUAAACGGAAAGAGAAUUUCGAGACGAAACUCUAGGCGCUUGAAUCGCCUGAUUCCGAUAAACGAGCGAAAAGUUAAACAAAAACGAAGAUUCGAUCAGAAAUCGAAUCUGAGAUAAUCGCGGAAAAAUCCGACCAAAAAGAAAAACGGACGAACGGUUAAAGAACGGACGUUCGUUAACAGAGAAAAACCGACGAACGCGUUCGUGAACGCUCACAAAAUAACAAAACCGAAAAAAAACCGAUCUAGGGUUUUUUUUAAACGAACGUUUUUUUUAAACAAAACCGGCAACGNNNNNNNNNNNNNNNNNNNNNNNNNNNNNNNNNNNNNNNNNNNNNNNNNNNNNNNNNNNNNNNNNNNNNNNNNNNNNNNNNNNNNNNNNNNNNNNNNNNNNNNNNNNNNNNNNNNNNNNNNNNNNNNNNNNNNNNNNNNNNNNNNNNNNNNNNNNNNNNNNNNNNNNNNNNNNNNNNNNNNNNNNNNNNNNNNNNNNNNNNNNNNNNNNNNNNNNNNNNNNNNNNNNNNNNNNNNNNNNNNNNNNNNNNNNNNNNNNNNNNNNNNNNNNNNNNNNNNNNNNNNNNNNNNNNNNNNNNNNNNNNNNNNNNNNNNNNNNNNNNNNNNNNNNNNNNNNNNNNNNNNNNNNNNNNNNNNNNNNNNNNNNNNNNNNNNNNNNNNNNNNNNNNNNNNNNNNNNNNNNNNNNNNNNNNNNNNNNNNNNNNNNNNNNNNNNNNNNNNNNNNNNNNNNNNNNNNNNNNNNNNNNNNNNNNNNNNNNNNNNNNNNNNNNNNNNNNNNNNNNNNNNNNNNNNNNNNNNNNNNNNNNGGGGUGAGGUGAGAGGAGGGGGGGCUAUAUAUAUAGGAGGGGGGGUCCGGCGACUUGGGGGAGGGGCAAGCCGGGCGGGGGCGGCUUCCGUGUCUGCCAUGGACACGGCGCGGCGGCGGGGCGUCGUGCGAGGAGAGGAGACGACGGGCGUGGGCCGGCGGCCUGGCUCGGCUGGGCUCGGCCCAGCCGGGCGCAGCGUAGUUUUUUUUAAACGUUCCGCGGAAAAUAAUUCAUAGAAAAAUAAAUAAAAGUCCAAAAAAGAUAAAACAAAUUUUCCCCGUCUAGUUAGAAAAUCUAGAAUAGGGUGAACAUUUUUUUGACACAAAAUAAAUUUUGAAAACAUGCAAUAUUUUUUUAAUGCAAAUAAAAUCUGAAUAAAAUCCAAUAAAUGAUUUUAACACUUUUCCUCCAGUAUUUCAAUUGUUUUGGAGAAGUCAUAUUUUCUCCUCUCGUUUAUUUUUAAAAUGAAAUAUUUUUCCGGAGAGAAAAUAAUUAAAACCAGAAUCCUCGUUUUGUAAUUUGAUGAAAAUCAAAUAUGAAAAUUCGAGAAAAUCCCCAACUCUCUCCGAGGGUCCUUGAGUUGCUUAGGAUUUAUCGAGGAUUUGUCAAAAUGCAAUGAAAUAUGAUAUGCAAUGAUGAUCUAUGUAUAACAUACCAAAUUGAAAAUUUGGGAUGUUACACAGAAGGGAAAAGAUAUGCUGUUUUCUAUCAGUCCCAAGCGGAUACUCCCCAGCUUCCACGGUCCGCUUACCGAGGAAGAGAUGCGGGAGGACACAGGGCCAGAGCAAGUUGGGUUGGGGUAUAGAGCCGUAAGCGCGGUGGGGGUGACAGAGGAUGUGCUCGUACGGUUCAUAGUUGGGUAUGAUACUCUCGUGGAUUGUUGGGAAUGUCCUCUAUAUUCGAAAUAUGCCUUUCUAGGAGCAUUACGAUCUGCAGCUCAAAUUGUCCCUUAUGAAGUCUCUAUUGGUCUUAUUCUUAUUGUGCGCCUUGUGAGCAUGUUUGGAUCCGCGAAGGCAAUCGCUCGGAUCUUCCCCUAACCCAACCCGGGAACGGACCGGAGGGAACCACAGCAUGAGGAAUGUCCGCGUCUCGUCGCAAGGCUCAUUUUGAGUUUUGGGUCAUAGGGCGGGCAGUGCAGUCCGGGGCACAAGGGUCCUGGUACUACCCAGGUGCGAAGAACCCCGGAGGCGACUGCAAUGAGCAAAAAUGUAACGCACCGGCCUAAACGACGAGCAAACACUCGAACGUGAGAGCAAGGGAUCACCCAACGAAUGGACGAGCUCCAAGGAGGGAGGAGAGAGGGAGGCAAGAACCAUGCUUUCAGAGAAGUGGCGGUCCGAAUCCACUCUGACAAAAGAAAAUAACAGACUAAGCCGUGCCGAGGGCAUUCUCCACACAGGACGGGGCCAAGGCCUUCAUGUAUGGGUGACAGAUCGGCCAUAGGAGUACUCCGGGAUAUACACCAGGGCAACUAAUGUCGAGCAUACGAUGAUGCCGCCCGUUUUCAUUUCAUGAAAGUCCCCGGCAGAGGAAAGGGCUGUAGGUGAUAGCGUGUUCUGCUUCUUAGGGCGAUGAAAUCGUUCCUAUGGGAUCGUGCGUGGCAGCUGGUAUAGAUGAUGAUGAAAGGCGGGUCGCUUGAACCGGGACCUAUUCUCAUAAUAGGCAGCAAGCAAAGCUAACUAGGAAAGGGGGCGACUGAUGAUUGCCUUUUUCGUCAGAAAUCAAAAAGGGUGGAAUGUGGAGCUAAUAUGGCUGGCUACAAGUAUAGCCAAAGAAAGAUGAGACGAGACGGACUGUCAGAGGACGCAGCGGGACUACCAGGGGAAAGCCCGCCCCCGCUAGCUAACAUAGAUAUCUAUUCUCGGUGCGUAUAUUCGAGAUUUAGAAUCUCUUUUCGACCAGGCCAGGCCGAAUCGGGCCACCACUUGGGAUGGGAAUGGCUCAGCCCACAUGCAUCAUUUGAUGAAAGCACUCCAGUCCAGUCGCCUCCGAUCAGUGGCUUGUCAACCACCGGACCGUAGCUCCUCACCAAAUGCCCCUGCGUUGGGGCAACACAGCACAUGACUAGUUCGCUCAAGGACCACACCCUCUCGAGAGCAGGAUGCCGGCCGAGAUGGAGCGCCAACCUAGACUUUCCUUGGGCUUGCCUUGCCCCAACAUCUAAAUAAAGGGCGAGCGCCGAAAAGGAAGCAGUGACGCCUUUUCGACGAAAGCUUAGCUUGGUAGGCGCAGCUUACUCACCCUACUCCCUUAGACAAUGUAGUCAAUAAUAAAGAUCCCGGAAAAGAUCCAAGGGAGUACAAUACACUUUAUAUUCACGUCUUGAAUAAUGAGGGGGUAAAGAAGAAAGUCCGAUUUCUCUCUCCUUUGCGGAUAUGCCCUUAUUCAGCUCUUGAAAGAAAGAGAGAUAGAAAGAGAGAAUGAUCAAACUCAACUAGACGGCAGUUCCUCUUGUUCAAACCUAUCUUGUCGAGUCUUCUCCUCAUAGCGAGUUUCGCUCUCGCUUCGCGUGUCCUAAACAUAAAAAAAGAAUUGAUUGUGAAAGACAAGUGUUUCAUUCCCCUCCCUAAUCGUUGAUUCGAACUGUUCGCUAGCUCCUCCUUUGUUUGGAUUAUAGCCCUUCCUUGGGGAUUUACUAUCCAAAGUAAAUCUUUCCAGUUUCAAAUGCUACUAUUUCUUCGUGGGCAGAAAGUCCAAAAUCUUCUUUUUCCGGUACUCCUUACUCUUUUCUCCCGUCGUCCUACUUUCACUUCUACGGACCUUCUAUCCAUAACGAGUUCCAGGACUGGUGAAUCGAUGUGGGAAUAGAUAAAACGAUUGUUGAGUACACAGUAUAACCGUGUAGCUCAUCCAGAAGAUCAUCAAUGACCGGUAUCGGGUAUUUCUUUUUUACGGUUUGCGCAUUGAGUUGCCUAUAAUCCAUAGGCGCCACGAAUCUUCUUUCUUCUUGUAAAGAAGAGCCGGUGAGGCAUGAACUAGGUUGUAGAGUACCAUUCUAGAGUAACUCCUUGAUUAUGGCUUCAAUUUCAUCCGGUGGUGUGAAUACCUAUAAGGCCUUUGAUUCACUGGUUGACUAUCGUGAGGUGAAUCCGAUGGUCACAUGGUCUUUUAGGAGGGAGGGUAGUGGGUUCUAAGAACACAUUAGAGAAAGAGGACCAAACCUGCUUGAGUCCUCUUCUACAUCUUGAGUACUUCCCACUCCAAUGGAUCUAGUUUUUAGAAUAGCUUUGAUCCGGCCAUGUAGAGCACUCAUAGAGGUCCGGCUUCACGUCAGUAAUCUACCACACCCAUGCUAGAAUUCAGUAGAGUCCCCACUCACCAACCACGAUGUCUUGGUUGAGAGGCCCCACCUACCCAUCUUCCCACAGUUUCACUGAGGUAGUACCAUCCCCAAUUCGCCACUUCUUGUGUUGAUGUACUAAGAAAUUGGUCGAGGCAAUCGACUUCAAUCAGAGGAAGCACUUGUGCACAUCAACUUAGGAUAUCCCCUCCGUUCUACACCAGAUUAUGCACUCACCUCUGGUAUAAUAUAUGAAAGGAAGACGCCCUUUCAGUGCACGCCAAAGAAGCUUUGCCUAGAAGGCUUCAAAAUACACUAUUAGGUCCCUCAUUCUCAGUCGGCCUUCACAAAGCGGUUUGCACACCUUGGACCAGCUAGACAGAUGUUCCGGCCUUUCUCCUAUUAAAUGCAUCUACCACCUUAUUUUCCAUCUUACCCCUAAUAUUCCGCCUUUGAAAGUCAAAACUCACACUUGCUCAUCUUAGCAUGUAGCUGAUUCCGCAGAAAAAGUGUUAGCUGCAAGUGCUGUUGAUGCUCCUUCAGUGUUUUACUGUCAAGAAGUAUAUCAUCAAACCAACACAAAUCUUCUGGACUUGAACACAUCAUUCAUGAGUGCUUGAAACGUUGCAGGAGCAUUUGUAAGCCUGCAUCACAUUGAAUUCAUAGUUACAGGGUUCUGAAUGAAGUUUUGGGCUUGUCUUCCUCUCUCAUCCUGACCUGAUGAUAGCCAGAUCUUAAGUCAAUCUUGCUGUAAUAUUUAGCACCACUCAUCCAAUAGGGCAUCUAUGUGCCGGAAUUGGGUAUUUCUUCUUUACUGUACUGGCAUUCAGCUGCCUGGUUUCAAUGCACAUCCUCCAUGUCCCAUCCUUCUUCUUCACUAACAACACAGGUGAAGCAAAGGGGCUAGUAGAGGAUUGUAUCAGUGAAUUCUUCAGCAAUUCCUCAAUUCUCAAUCUCAGCCUUUCGCAGAUGUGAGUAUCCGUAUGGCUUCAGAUGUUUGGGCUCAGUACCUUCGGGGGUAUAUAGUGAUCAUGUAUUCUUUUUUUGUAAGGACUUAGGUUCUUGAAACACCUACUCUUAAGAGUUCAGUAGGGUUGAAAUUCGAUCAGAGAUCAGAGAUGUUAGGUUUACUGAGUUGACCAUGCACCAUUGAGCCAUCAUGCAGAACUAAGCUUGUUCUGAUUUAGUAGCAAUCAACUCUUCUCCUUCCACCUGGUACAACUUUCCUCCUCCCCUCUUGAUUCUUUCCAGCACCACUUAAACACUGCAGAAAGGGUUUUGACCAGCUAGUCAAAUUGCCCCAUUACGGGUGUGUUACGCCAGAAAGUUCCUCAAUCCUGUGCCUGUUCCCGAGCGAGUCAGUCCCAUUUCGAUGAUGAACGACACGAUGUGUGCCUCCAUAGAGCUUCCCAUUUGACAUUUCUCCAUCGCGAGAGAUUCUCUCUAGCCACAGGUUCCCCAGUGGUACGUCCGGGAUCGGUUCAAUCAGUGCGCUAUCAGUCCAGUACCAUUAGCUCUCCAAGGGUCGCAAUCCAUUCUUUCCGGGCAAGCCAGUUCAGUUCCUUUCUGGUAGCAAGAGAUCCCAUAUCAGAUUAAGUAAAUGGAUUACCUAGCUAGCGCAUAUCGAAGAGUUGGAGACUUCCUGCCACUAUAAAAAAGCCGUUGAUGGAUCAAUUUCUGUAGGUGGGUCUCAACUCGGAUCAAAACAUUCGGAUUUGCCGAUGAAGAGUACUGCCUUGGAGGGGUAGGGGUUGUAGGGGAAGAACCAACCUUUUGUAGGUAGCAAAACAUCUCACUCAGUAACUAAAUUAGAGUUUGAUCUUUUACGUUUGUGUUGUCUUUUUGCAUUUUUGUUUCGAUGAGACAUCAGAUCUGAGUUAUUGUUCACUGACUAUAUCUUAGACCAUUGCGAUCUCUUUCUUUCACUUGGUUUUUCUUCCUUCCCUUCGGUACUCCUUAACUCGGAGAUACUCCUUCGUUACUACUUGGCUACUACUUGAACAGAUGGGUUUAGUCCCUUCCUUUGGGCAACGUUUUCUCUGGGUACCACCGGCUUACCACCGGGUUGAAAGAAAUCCCUUACUAUUAGGACAUAGUGUUCGGUACGACUUAAGGCUACUGGAUUGACUUUCUUUAAUGUUGCAUCUGCUUUCAACUAUUUUAUAGCCUCCCGUCCCGAGCAAACGUCGAGAGCAGGGUGUUGAGCCAAAAAGUAAAAUCCAUAGAGUUGGGGACUAAAGAGACUCUUUUUUUACAGCCAACCAUGAAGAGAAGAGAGUCUCAGAGUAGAUUCAGUAAUGUUGAGUCGAUCUAGUAUGGAAAAUUCCUCGCUGUGCGCUCGCCUUUUGCCUGCUUCUGCUUCAUCUGCAGAUCGGAUUCCUUCCCCAGAGUUCUUACUUAUAGGCUUUAUAGCCAAGCAAUAGAAUAACUGCUUCUUCUAAAGCGCAUUAGAGUGCAACGACCAAAGCUACGGAGCGGCCUCUACCGCUUUCCCUACUGUUCUGGUUGAACUAGGGCUUUGGCUGAGCGACCACCUUCUUCCAGUAUUCUUAGCUUACUGUCUGCUUCCUGCCUGAUCAGUGUUGAUUGACUGUUCUUGCUUGUCUUGGGCCUGCUCUAGUUUUGGUGCUGCUAACUAAGGGUCGAAUUUCGUGACUUGAUGAAGAGGAAGCCGAGUAUCUUUGGUCUUGAAGAGUCAGGCCAAUCCAACCGCUUGCUCCUGCCCAACUCAGUCUCAGUCGUACCAUAAUGCGCCUGGACUCAACACUUUUCUUGCUCCAAGACCACCCUCUAGCCCUCAUGUAAAAUAGAUGACAGAAUUGUAAACAAUCAUAGAAUGAUUUAAGCUGAGGAACAUAGAGAUCUCUCCCACCAUUUUUGUCAUAUACCUCUGGAAUAGUGUUGAAAUCACACGCCACUAAGCAGUUUUUUAAACCAAGUGGUUUAUCUUAGUGUGCUAGCUGCUGCUUCAUUUCGUAUAGCGAUAACGCUUUCUCUUUCUUAGCGCUCCACCCCGCGGAGAACUCUGGUUGCGCUUUGGUUGGCUUUCUCUUUUUUUCGAUUUUCUCUGACUUGACUCAGCUUUACCUACUUGACUCAGCGGUUAGAGUAUCGCUUUCAUACGGCGAGAGUCAUUGGUUCAAAUCCAAUAGUAGGUAAAGCCGGCCGAAACCCCCGCUUUUGCCGGCAUGACAGCAAGCAUAGACUGGCAUCAAGGAGUAGAAUGACCAAAGCAUCAGUUGCUUCCACUUGUUUGUUGCCUUCUUCGACCGACAGACAAGGUACCCCCUCUUUUUCUCUUGCGAACCUACGUUGAGCUUGGGACAACCCGCGACUGGCAUAGGAUAUUUCAAAAGCGCCAGGAUCCAUCCUUCUUAUGAACCAAGAGCACUGGAGAAGCGAAGGGGCUCGUGCUGCGACGAAUAAUGCCAUUGUUCAUCAUCUCACAGAUUUGCUUCUCAAUCUCUGUUUUCUGGUGGGGUGCAUAUCUAUAUGGCCGGACAUUGACUGGCACCGCACCUGGCACCAACGGAAUUUGGUGGUCACAGGCACGACGAGGGGGUAAUUCCUUUGGCUCCCGGAACAAAGCAUCAAACUCCUGUAGCAGUUCUUGAACAGCUGGAGGUGUCUGCUCUGCAGGAUCAGCAUCCAGAGUAAUUGCUUGCAGAUCAUGCUCCUGGUGAAUCUGACGCACUUGCACACACUGGCUAACAGCACCCCGUUUCAGCAAUCCUUCCAGCUUACAGACAGAGAUUGGACGGCAGGAAGGAUUAUCUUGAAUGCCAUUGAGAGUGAUGCGGCGCCCUUUGUGCGUGAAUUUCAUACGACGAUGACGCCAAUGUACCCACAUCGGGCUAUGGUCUUCGAACCGCUCUUGCCCUCCCCAUUCACUUCCAUAGUGGUGUUCUUUGGUCGGCCCACUCAUUUCACUCUCAAGCUCUCUGAGAAGAGAGAAUCCGAUUCAAGAUGUUUCGAAUUCAGCCUUUCCUUCAUGUUCGUGCUUUAAGUCAGUUCGUACUUUUCAGUAUAUAAGAGAAUGACUGAACUCGCAUUGAAAGCUACUAAACAAUGGCUGACAGAGACUCAUAAGAGGGAGAGCGGUAGCAAAAAUGAGAUCUUUCAUCUAGACAGAAGAGAGAUCCUUUCCUUCCUUUCUAUAGGAAAUGACUGAUGUUGCUAAGUCACCUUCCGCUGCUCUUGCGUCAUCCCUUUUCCAAUUCUUUUUGUAUGGCUCGGUUGCAUCCGAUUGAUCGAUCCCUAGUCACUGAUUACAUGCAUGAGUUCUUUGAUUCACUACUGACUUCUUCUGUGGAGCCGAGUUCGCCGACUGAGACUACUUGAAAAGAAUUUUUGACCAAUCGAUCUCACGACGAUGAGUCACCCACAUACUUAACAAAAAAUGCAAAUAGAAGAGCAAGUAAAUCAAGCUCAAUUACAACUCACUCUGAUCAAAUAGCACUCAGGUAUAGUAUUUCCAGCGGAAAGGUAGCCUUGCUCGCUUCUUUACCCUUGUACGCACAAAUCUAGCUCAUAGCAGCACUUUCGAGUUCGGUUACUUAAGUACAGAGAUUGGAACAACUUAGCGCGGGAAGUCCCAUAUCUUGUCUUAGCCUCGCCUCACCUAUUUCCUCAUAACGAGAUCAGAAUGAAAUAGAAUGGAAUCUCAAGUCUGAGCUAGAUCAGGGCUACCACGUUCCCUCAGACGAAAAAGAAAAGAAUACUAGACCUGUUGGACUCGCAAAGUAGGAUUAGGCUUUUUCUACUAGAAACAGAGGAGAGCGAAAACUAAGUCAAAGGGGGAAGAGCUGUUUAUGAGCAUUUUAAGGCCGGUUGACAACAUCCAAUGUCUCCCACGAGGGUGCCUGAAACUCCAGUUUUUAUAGGCAGAGGUAGGUAUAUAUAUAUUUAACACAUUUUAGUUUGUAGGAAGAUUCCCCGCUCUGAUUUUUUUUCUAUUUGAAGCUUCUUCCAAAGAGGUUGGGAUUCUAGUUUCAAUUGGAUGUGUCCCGGUAAGAUUGUUAACGACUGAUAUACUGCCUGAGACAGGGCAUGCUCUCCCCUCUGCGUAUCGAGAGAAAGAAACAACUUCCUGAUUCCAGUUUCUUUCAUUUAUACCUACGAUAUCCACGCUAAAGAUGAAAACUUUUGCAGUUCAUAUCAGCCUGAAUGAGGAAGUAGAGUCAGUAUCGUCCAUAAACUGGGCCAAAGAUCUGACAGAGGUUGACUUGCUGGCUUGUGAGUUGCCGGCUCCGUAGUUGAUUUCUAACCAGAGGAUAGUGACAACCAAUAUUCCUAUUCCUACUUGUGUGCUUGUUUGCUAUUCUUCCUGUUCCUGUUACGAGACGACCUCGGCUCAAGCUGACCCCACACCGAAAGUCGUCAAGCAGUCUUGGGCUCCAUCAAUCAGUGAGGAGGAAACCAAAACCUGCUGGAGUUUCCCACCAUCACCUUGCCUAGAUCCGGGGGUUCAUACCCUCCGGUAGCAGAGAUGUAAGUCGCAAAGGCUACUUGCCUGUCGAGGGGGGAGAACUACCUAGUAUCAAAUUCACAAAGCAGCACAUUUAGUAGUUGACAUCUUUCUUUCUCGUUUUCAUCGGAAAGGAGAGUUUUCACGUUAAGCAAGAAGAGCUACGAGGUGGAGGGCUAUUUCACCGACCGUCACUUCUCCUUUGUAUCUGCCGAAGACGGAAGUAGCCCAACGACAGGCUUGUGUGGAGUUGAAUGACAACACGCAGAGGUCUUUUGGCGAAACUGGGGGCUCUUUGUCCAAAGAAAGGGCAAAGUCAACAGGCCAAUCCCAGUUUCAGAAUUGGAAGAAGCAGUAGGAGGUUCACCAUCAGAAAGGCAUGGGACAACAAACUCUCUUAAAGCUUUCUUCGAAUAAGUCUUUCGCUUGACUUGGCUCAAUGGCUUUAGUUCAGUAAAUGCUUUCGUAUGAAGCUUGAUUCAAGUCUAGUCUCAUGCAGUGAAGAUCGUCAAGCAAUCAUUGCUCGUCUCUCCGAAACCUAUUGAUAAGGAACGCGUUCAAGUGUAUGGAAUAAUCAAACCUUUCACGUAUUUGUUAACAUAGCGUUGGACGAUUGAUUCCUCUCUUUCUCCAUGCCUGCUUCCCAUAACUGGCCUUACUAAAACUUACGAAAUGGUAAUUUGACCUAAAUUUCCGGUUAACUGCUGACUUUCUUUGCUAGCUCACCCGAAACUCUGUCUUCAGGAGGAAAGCUUGCGUGAGUACCUUACUUGAAAACAAACCGCUUGAGCUGUAACCGAAACAGAAAGGUUUGAUGAGCCGCUGCUUGCUCUCUAACUGCUCUUACCGCUUCUUCUUCUUGACCUCUGCUCACUGCUGCCAAUGCUGUGACUGCCGCCCCUAUCUCUAAAGUUGCAGAUUACAGCUCCUGAUUCAAGCAGUUUUUUUCUGAAGUAUGAGUCUUGUUUGUGACAUUCAACUCCAGAAUGAACAUUCAAAGGAAAAGUAGUAUGGGACGUUGCUUGCUAUUACUGACUGCGGCUGCCGACCGAAGAACUGAGGAUCUUCAAUAUAUGUUUGAGUGCUCUUGCGAAAGAAAAUAAUUUCGAAUGCAAAAAUGACUUCAAAAAUAGGAUAGGAUCGCGGAUUCCAUAUAUUUUUAUAGAAAUAAAGAUACUGUAUUCCAUUUAAUGCCUUCUUGCCUGCCUUCAGUUCAUGCCUUCAGGCCGGCCUGCUCUUGCCUAUGAAUGAGAUGCCUACUUCCCAUUAAGUCAAAAUACCUCAUAGACAUACAUAUUUUUAAGAAUACUUAGUUAGUUAAAGAGAAAGAUGGCUUUUGACAAUUUUUUUAGUCCCCUCGUUCCCGAGCAAGAAAACGGAUGCGCUAACGCGCAACGGCUUUCGCGCUAGUUGCUCAAUCCGUUGCUUGUUCGGAAGAAUCCGCAAAUGAAUAUUCUUUGUUUCCUCUCGGACAGGCCCUCCUUUUUCAUUCAAAUGUACAUCUUUUUCGGUAAUGAUCAUCUACAACUGAAAGACUGACGUCUUCCUCUACUCGAUCCUUAGUUAUACAAUCUCCCUCCACCUCAAUUUUUAUGAUCCUCAUAGCCUUUUUUAUUCGCGUCCUCCCCCUGGAUCUAUUCCUGCCGCGUCCACGUCCUCUGCCUCCAGCAACUAGAGCUGCAUCAUCUUGUUCACUAUUGAGAAUAGGCCUCUUCUCACACCGUACCAGUUCUUUUUGCAGUUGAAUCUUCCCGUUCUGGCUUAUUGAGUGUAUAGAUUCUUUUUGAAAUGCAAUCUAUUACCACGUCACUCUUCUCAUAACAUAUCCUGUUCUCCUCACUUUGAUUCUGGAUUCACCGGUUGAUUUAAGACGGGGUUCUAUGCUUUCUAGCCCCAUUUGACAAAAGUGAGCUUCCCCUAUCUCUUUUGUAGGAAUCAGAUAGCAAUGCUCAUUCGUGAAUAGCAUUUCAUGCUUCCGCUACUUCGUCGGAGAGAUCCAUGGAAACUCAAAAAAGAAAAGCGGACGGCAUUGUUCAUACGAUAGCCGGAAAAGUAAGUUCUCCCGCCGGCUAUUCAAAAAAGAAAGACUUACUUAUUCAUAAACUUCCUUUUAUCGAGCAUAAUAGCUCUUAUACGCUUGUAUAGAGGAGUAUAAAACAAUGUAUAUAUAUAUAUAUAGGUGUUUAGUAUCCUACAAAAACAUUAACAUCCAAAGCACCGUAAGCUUGCUUUCUCUCCCGCUGACAGACAAAGAAAAGGUUUUUUUAGACUUUUCUAUGGUAGGCCUACGCUAGUGGAAUAUCUUUUUUGUUUGUAUUCUUGCUUAACUCUCUCUAUUCUUUGCUUAAGCUAUCGUGUCAUGUAGAUGGAUGGCAUCUCCCUAUUCCCACAUGCUCGGAUAUGAUUAAUGCAUGGAAGCUAAGGAAUUGGGUCAUUCUUCAGCCCAAGAUGCAAGCAUUUGGACUCCAUCCGAAUAUGGCAGUUGAACUCUUAUAAUAGGCCUGGCUCUGGAAAAUGGGCUUAUCUUGGGCAAAAAAACACAAAUAAAGAAGAGCUUCUUGUUUCCAAGCGGAACUUUAAUGGGCUGCUAGCAGAUUUGUUUUGGAUGGCAAGUUAACACCGUGGGUAUGCUUGCCUUUCACUCGCUCUGGCACAUUUUGGCAGAACGUCAACGUUAUAUGUAGUGGAAUUCUAGAGGUAAGUUAAUGUUUCCAAAAAUCCAAAUGGAAAAGGAUUUGCAAAAAUAUGUAGAUUAGAAGCUACUAUCUCCAGUUUUAUGAGAGAAAGAAGAGGAAGAAUCGGCGAACAUCCUAAAAAAUGGUACUUUUGUCUCAAUCCGAUCAAAAACAAACAUAUUCUAUUGUGUGUUGACCACUGGGAAACGAAUGGAUUAAGAUGAAGACGGAUGGUUCAAUUAGCGAGCAUGGGAAGGCUUGUGGAGGUUUUGCAAUAAAAAGGGGAUAUAUGUGUUCUCUCAAGCAGUUAAGAACAAGACCAUACUCGAAGUCGAGCUCUUUUGCAUCUGAACAUGUAUUCAAAUAGUAGCCGAAAAGGAGUGUCAGAGGAUUUGGAUUGAUUCGGAUUCCCUAACGUAAGACAUGGUCUACUCUCAAGAUCCCAAAGUCCGCAGCUAAGGAAAGCCCCUUCUUCAUAAGAUCAAGAAAGUACGAGCGUCUUUCGAAGAUUGGAAAAUCUCCCAUACUUGGAGAGAAGCAAACCAACCGGCCGAUUUGCAAUUGACUAUGCUUAGUAGUUGACAUCUUUGGUCUUCACAUUUUCCCUUCCAUUUGUAAAGUUAGUAGAAGAGGACAGAUCCGGUAAAUUGACGAAUGUCAAUCUUCAUUUUUGUAGAUUAAUACACUGGUAGGGGUCGAUCAGGCAAAUCCCAAAGCUGACCCCCGAACAGCUGCCGGACUGAUCUACUGAUCUUCUCUCUCUUCAAAAUAACGGAACCUUCUCAAAGACUCCCUUUGCACUGAGAACACAAUUUAGAACCCUCCUUCUCACAAGAAGGCAAACCUUGUACGUCGAUCGAAUCUUCUUUCGCAUCCAGAAGAGAGGCUGUGGGCUAUCCGAGAGAGUGGUUCAGGUGACUACCGGAGUCAUUGAUUAAGCAGGUCAGAUGGGCUUAGUAGGGCUCGAACCUACAAUAUCACCGUUAUGAGUGGUACGUUUCAACCAAUUAAACUAUAAGCCCAAUCGGAUCUCUACAUGCCGGGAAGAGCGGACAGAAAGAGGAGACCUUUGCUCUAUCUCCUUCUUCCUCUUCCCGGGGCCCCGGAGGGGUUCUUUGGCAAGCCCUAUCAAAGAAGCUAAGUGACUUUCGUCACUCAAGUAGUGAGUUUGAGAGUGACCGUUAGGGCGACCACUUGUACUUCUAGGCCUUGGCGACCUAUAUGUUACGCAACACAGCUUCACUCGAUUCAGUAAAUCAAUAGUUCAAACCAGCCCACUAAUAGCUUCACAGCUUCACUCAAGGUUCAUAGGAAGGGGGAACCCAGACAUAGUGGGAUGUAGGCUUCAGUUGUUUUGGUACCUUUUCACUACGUCUUAUUAUUUGUUUUGUAACCGGCUUUUCACUGGCAGAUCAGUAGGCCUUUUAGAAGGCGAACAAACGAAAGUUCUCUGCGGGCGCUAGCGCUAUCUUGUUCGCUUUUGUCAACUGAAGUCGUGCGUAGCGCCAACUAACUGAUAGCUGAUAGAGCGCGGAGCCCCUUCUCUAAUCAAGCAGAGCCAUUUCUUUCUACUGUCGUCAGAAGAAAAAGAAAAGUACUAAAGGCGAAGGGCAUUCUGUUGUACAGCUACUUUGGUAUAGUUACAAAGGUAACUGGUAGGUGACUGUUGAAUCGAUAGUAGUUACGAAAGGGGGAAAUAGCUCAGUUGGUUAGAGUGCUGGUCUGUCACGCCAGAAGUCGCGGGUUCGAACCCCGUUUUCCCCGCCCGAUCUUCCUCUUCCUGCCCGACUCAUUUUGAAAACACUGGAAGCUGUUGAUCCCAGCGUAGCAUUCAAGACAAUUGUUCCUUCUUCGGUCUCCCUCCACCCCCUUCGUUUCUUGUGGGUCUCACCGCAGGCACUUACUUAAUGAAUGAGUGAAGAUCUUCCUUCCCCCCUUGUGUCUUACCAAGGACCGAGUUCCCACUUGUGGCAAAAAAAAGUAUACCAUCCCACCCGGCCUAACCCGGGGGGUUAAGGUUCCUCUCGGAGACUGCCAGUCUACAAGAAGCUGGCAGAGCUUUAGCCAUUGGACCACAUCCAUCCAUCCUCCUACCUAAAGACACCUUUUCUUGUUCGUUCUUCGAAUUACGCUAGUGGAGAGUAAUUCCUUCCGGCUAAUGAAGAUACUACCCCAGUCUUCCCAUUCAUUCCCAGUGGAUCCUUCUUAUCCCUUUUCAUUGAACGAACCAAGUUCACCUAUACGAUUCUGCAGAGUCUACUUGAGCUGACUGUGCAUAUGAAGAACCCCAGUGGUAAAUGAAACUUUUGUUCAUUGACUACAUUGCCUGGUUUUGAUAAUGCGCAGGACCCGUGCAGCGGCGGCUGCUUCCCUCCAUAUACCGUGGAAAAUUUUCGUUACCACUGGGUUUAGCUUGGUGCAUAUGAGGAUCCUUUGUGGUUUGAAUAAUAGGCUCUGGUCUCGAUAUUGGGCUAUGGGCUGAUUGCUUUCUGUAUGAGCCUCUUGUGAUUGGGCUCUCGUGGGCGGAUUACCCGAUGUGUACUCAUCUUCCAACAAAGAGGAGAAGACAUAACCAGAAGAGUUGUGAGAAAUAAGUCAAUUUAUCAAGUUGAGGCAUUUCGAUUUGGAUUUCAAAUAAGAAAGACAGAAAAAGACUCCUGCGCCCUCGAGAGCAUUCUCUUUCACUUGCAUUUCUUCCUGAAGUUGGCUCGAAGACCUGUCCAGCCUUGAUUUUCCCAGUUAUUACUCGAGCGCGCUGAGGCAACUCUGAACUAAGCUCAGGGGAGGGUAGUAGGUAUGCUUCAAACCCUCCGGCACCUUGAAGAACGAUGGCACUAGAUCGGGAAAGAUGAAUGACCAAUGAGGACAGGACAAUGGGGGAAGUUGGUAAUACAGAAUCCUCCCUUCUUCUUUGCUUUCUUGCCUGAAAAAAUCCAAAACUAACCAUUGGAACCUCAUGGGCUACCGAGUUAGGAGAUUCAUUUUAUUUAUUAUUUUUACUUUUUUUACUAAGUUAUUCUAAAAGAUAAGAGCUAACCGACCAUCCUGAUUGAAUGUUUGAGUACUCGGAGUCUCUCGUAAGUAUGGAAAGAAAGUCUCUUCUUUCCACAACUCCUAAAUUUCCCAUCAGCCUAUCCAAUCUAAUUCCAGACAGAGUCAGUAGACCUUACUUUAGUGUAGGCAGUGUCAGAUAAUUAGGAAGUCUUGAUAGUCUUUCGUAUAAUCUCUUCUUCAAUCCUAGGAGCAAAAAAGGAAUGUCCUUAGGGACCUUUGGAUACCAAGAUUUCCGACCUCUUACUUUCGUAGUUAUGAAUUGCGGAAUAGAAUCAAUUAUGAAAUUCAUAAGUAUAUAUCCCUCAUCCCUAUUGGUAUCGGUUUGGGCCACUACCCAGAACCCUGCCAGAGCCCUAUUUUUAAGAAGAAAUUGACA
rnacentral:lncRNA from 1 species